rnacentral:lncRNA from 1 species
UCGAAUCUUCAUUGUUGAGUUAACGUUUGUCAAAUGGAACUCAAACUUCAUGUACAACCACAUAAACUGUUUAAGGCACGAAUAUAAAUUGAAAACAAAUUUGGAAAAUUUCGUUACCUUAUUCUCCAAAACAGAUUUGGACAAAUUCAAGGAUUUUACACAAGGUAAAUCAAGAGAAUAACAAAUCACGCUUCUUUUCGUAAUGACUUUAUCAACCACAAUCGAAGAGUAACAAUUAAUCGGAUCAAAAUGAGGGGAUCUUUUAAGAACUAAGUCACCAAAAGUUUUAUCAAUAAUUUUCAAAUCUGCACUGGACUCGGUUUCUAAAAUUUCCUUACCUCGCUUACCUUCGGGAUCAUGUAGUGUGAUUUCAUCUUUACUUAAGUUGAUCGUAUGAAAGCGUCUUUCAUUUGAGAGGUAUUGAAGUUGAAAGUUAUCUUUCGAUCUUUCGGGAACCUGAAAAGUAGCAACACAAGAAAAAUUCAUAUCUUGGUUAGUGGAAACAUUCCUCACUACCCUUUCCACGUCUUUUUCUUUUGUUUCUUUUUCUAAUUCAUUUUCUCUUCUUUCUUCAAUUUCUUUUUCACUCUCAAUCUCUUUUUUCUCUUUUUCAUUCUCUUUUUCUUUUUCCUCACUUGUUUUAACAGAAUUUUUCAGUUUGCUUUGGUCCUCAUGGACUUGUUCUAGAGCGAGCGGCACGAAGGUGAGUUUCUUUCCUUGAUGCUUGAAAGAAUACCUAUUGGUACGACCAUCGUGAGUGACUUUUCGAUCCAGUUGCCACGGUUCUCCUAGCAACAAAUGGCAGGCUUGAAUAGGCAUUACGUCGCACACAACUUCGUCUUGAUACUUACCGAUAGAAAAGGCGAUGCGCACUUGUUGAGUGACCCUAAAUUGGCCUUCGUUGCUAAGCCCUUGUAGUUGAUAAGGUUGUGGAUGCUUGGUAGUGGUUAAGCAAAGCUUUUCCACCAUCGUCGUGCUGGCUAUGUUCGAGCAACUUUCACCAUCAAUAAUAACUCUACAAAGCUUACCUUGUACGUGGCAGCGAGUAUGAAAGAUAUGUUCUCGUUGCUGCUCGCUCUUUGGUUUUGCCAAAGAUGAUUGUCCAUGAUCAUGACAAUCAUCAUCCAUUCUAGGGACACGUUGAGGGUUGCACCUAUGGGGCUGGUUAUCCCUAUCUUCCUUAAUUGGAUCUCGAUAUUGCCAAAGACGAGGUCGAGUGGUAAAGGCAAGAGAGCGUGAGUUCAUUCGAAAAAAAAGCCUAAAAGAGAGUUCAAACACGAGUGAGUGAAUUUUUCUUUUUGAGCGAACUUGAGAGAUUUGUGGUGAGAAUUAUUUUUCUUUCUAAUUUAACUUUUGUUUUCUAAUAUUUUGUUGAAGCAUGUCUGAAGAAUUUUCUGAAUUUGAAUUCCAAAUGUGGAGACAAGAAAUGCAAAGGAUAAUGCGAUCUGAAUUUCGACAAUUCGACAAAGAUAAAGAAGAUUUGACAUCUACUAUCGUUGACAUCAAGAUUAGUGCAAUCCUUCAAAGAUUGGAAAAUGAACCACAAUGUGAAGAUAUGUUUCACACGCGUUGCCGUGUCCACGAUAAAGUUUGUUGCCUCAUUAUUGAUGGUGGAAGUAGGUCAAACAUGGCUAGUAUUCGAACGGUAAAAAAACUUGGCUUGGCCACUACCAAGCAUCCACGACCCUAUCAACUGCAAGGACUUGGUGUUGAAGGCAAAUUUGAAGUUACUCAACAAGUGCGUGUUGCAUUUUCCAUCGGAAGAUACCAAGACGAAGUCCUUUGUGAUGUUGUGCCUAUUCAAGUUUGCCAUUUGUUGCUAGGAGAACCAUGGUAAUCGGAUCGCAAGGUCAUUCACGAUGAACGUACCAAUAGGUAUUCCUUCAAGCAUCAAGGAAGGAAAAUCACUUUAGCUCCGCUCACACCGGAACAAGUGCAAGAAGACCAAUUCAAAAUGAAGCAAUCCAUUGAGCAAGAAAAGGAGAAAGAGAUUGAAAAAGAAAUUGAAAGAAAACAAAAAGAAAACGAAGAAGAAAAAGAAAUUGCAAAAGAAAAAGAAAUCGAAAAAGUGAGAGAAAAAGAAAAUGAAGAAAAGAAAAUUGAAAAAGAAAAAGCGAAAAAAGAAAUUGAAAGAGAGCUUGAAAAGAAAUCAAGUGAAAAAGAAAGAGAGUCUGUAAAAGAAACGAGUGAAGUGAGUAAUCACAAAAAAGAGAGGAAUUUUUUUGCUAACCCCUUUCGAAAUUACCUUGUGAUUUUUCUUUGUUUCAGGUUUGCAAGAUUCCAUCCACGGAUUGGUUCCAACUUCAUUACCUUUCCACCGAGAGACGUUUUCAAUUGAUUGAAAGAGGUAAGUUGGAAGAUAAAAAUGAUUGUCACAUUUCCAAUGGUAAGAAAGGUAAGGGUUCCUUAUUGAGCGAGUUUCAACUCAUUUACUCACAUGUUUAUGACAAGAUUACUGAAAAUUGUUUUUGUGAAAGGGUUUUUCCCAUUGAAUUGGUUCAUUUUCGUUCAUCUAUUAUUUAUGAUUUUGUUUCAACUAGUGCUUUGAAAAGUUUUUUCUAUGAUAAGUUUGUUGCUGGCAAUUUUAUUGAAGGCGUUCGAUUAGAUCAGCAUGAACAAAGUGUGAUAGUGUGCGAUAAAGAUUAUUCACAUACAAAGUUCGAUUUGUUUGAUUAUCAUAUUCUGAAUGAUGGUGAUUACACCUUCCAUAGUGGUAAGAAGUGUUUUCCUAUUGAUGAGUAUGGUAUUGGCAAGAAUUUUACUAAAGUACGAAUAAAUCCGCACAAACAAAUUUUGAACUCUUGUGAUAAAAAGUUGGCAUGUGAAACGCCUAGUCUACUUGUGUGUGGUGAUAAUUUGAAUUUUCUAUUUUUUUGCGUAAAUUCCCCAUGUUUGAACAAGUCUAUUCGAAUGAGAUUUACGAUGUAUGAAUGUUUGAACAUAUGCAUGCUCAAAUUCUUUUUGUUCCACUUGUGUGAAUUGUUGGUAAUUAAGAAAUUCACACUGCAUUUUGGAACGAGUGAACAAUAUCGUGUGUUCAACCCUGGAGUUCGCUAUUCUGGUUCAUCUUUGAGAGAAGGCAAGCAUUGUAAAUUUUGUUUGAAUGACCAAGUAAACAAUCGUUGCUUGUAUGAUGCUUUGUCACUAAGUUUGAAAACGAGACGUGUGAAUCUUGUUGGCUUGUUAAGACAAAAUCAAAUUUUUGAUUGUGGAGAAUGUUGUUUAUUUUUGUUUAACAAAAUCAAGACAUAUGAAUGUUUAAAGGCAUGCCUGUUUAAUUUUCUUUUGAUCCGAAUAUGUGAUAAGACGAUGGCAUGUAAAAUGGUUAGUGCAUUUGAAUUUGAAGAUGGUGUCUCAAAUCUGCCUUGCUAUAUAAAUUCUGCAUGUUUAAGUAAGAUUGAUCGAGUGGAACUUAGAUUACAUGAUCAUUUGGAGGACUCCUUGAUAAAUUUUGAUUAUAAAUUUGAUUUGAUUCUGAUGCAUCCUUUAUUACCAAGUAUGGAAAACCAUUGUGAACAGGUAAGAUCCACUUCUACAUUUGAUCCCGGCAUUGGAUUAUGCAUUCUAAUUUUGAAUAAGAUUCUGAAAAGAUCGUUUGAGUUUAUAAAUUUUAGUGUCACUAAUUCGUUCCAUUUCUAUGUAGGUGACACUUUGGAAUGGUUUCCUCCUAAAGAGGGAGGGCAUGGAACUAAAUCAUUUUCUUUUCAAACCAUUUGUGGUUCUUGGAGUUUUAAAAACAAUACUUUUCGGAUCAUGAACAAAAGGGCUUGUGAUCCAAAAAAUUUUUCGCGAGCAAGUGGCCCGAUUUGAGGACAAAUCGUCUUUAAGAGGGAGGGUAUGAUGUGAUCUCAAUCGCAUCAUGUUGUGGCACCACUCGUUGCUAUCAUGAUUGGCCUAAAACACGAGGGCCCCAAGUGUAAGAUGAAGCUCAAUCUCAGCUCAACAAGCUCAAUCUUAGUUUUUCCCAGCUCGAUUUAGCUCACAUGAGCUUAAUUUAGCUCGUUUGAGCUCAAUUUAGCUUACUUUAGCUCGUUUGAGCUUGGCUUAAGUUUAUUUCAACUCAUUUAUUUUAAUGUCUGAAUAAAUUAAGUAAUUUAUUAAUUUAGCUUAAAUUACUACAGCUUAUAAUUAUGUUUUGACUUAUUACAUGUUUUAAAUGUGUCUUGGCCGAAUUUAAUAUGUCUUGUUAAGACUUUAUUAAAAUUUGUCUAAUUUAAUUUAUGUUUAAUUAGUGUGUCUAAAUUAUAUUAAUGUUUGUUCAGCUGAAUUUUAUGUGAUUUAAUUUUGGUUCAUGUGUUUUUGUAGGUGAGUUGAAUUUGGAGAGUAAUUAAACAAGGUUCAUGCAUGAUAGGUUCAAUGUAUGGGACGGUGCAUGUAAGGCCUCUUUCAAUGAAUGGUGGCUGAUCCAUUUGGCUCCCCAAGGCACCUAUUUGGCCAAAAGGUGUCCAGCAACUUAAAGCACAAGCUUGGCCGAUCGUAUUCCCAAGGCAGCAUCUAAGCCAUUCACACCUCAAUUUGACCAAUCAGCUCCUAUACAUGUAUGGGUGGAUUCAUGAACGUCCAAAGGGAGGGAAUAUUACCUUAAUUCAUCACAUUGAAUGUAUAAUGUGCAUGUACAAAGGGGAGAACGAAUUUACAAGGUACAUGCUUCCAUUCAUGAACCAGCCCAUCAUUAAAGCAUUAAUUAAGAGAGAUGCAUUACCCAUGCACCUAGCAUUCGUCCAAGAGGGGUUCGAUAUGAAUUGAAGAUGCACAUUCAUGGAACAAGGAAGCUUUCUUAUUGGUUAAGCAUGCAUGAACGGGUUUUGGGAAGAAACAUGAUUAUUCAACCAUGCAUGAACUUACACUAUCCAUGAACAGAGAUUUAAUGCUUGAAGUGUGAACAUUUUUAAUUGUUGUGUGAACACAUUAGUAGCUGAAUUUUAAUAGGCAUUAGAGAGCCUAUAAAUAGUUUAUUUUGUUUAUUGUAAAAGGUUACAGAAUUUGAUUAUUGAAAACUUGAUUGUGAGGUUUCCUCCUAUCCUAUUUCGUACGAGUCUCGUUCUGACUUAUCUAGCUCGCUAGUGGCGUCAACCCGACUUCUUGAACUUAUCACCAUCCUGGUGUGGCUUUCAUCCACCUUUUUAUACCUUUGGUUCCUACCUUUCUAUAGGUAACGGGUCAAGGUCCAUCUUCGACAAUCCAUUAAACCCACCUUAAGCAAUAUAAGUCCCGGGGCAAUACUUCAUAUAGUAUUGAAUCGUUCUUCGCUUGAGUUCUAUUUUUCCAUUCCAUUUUAACUAUUAAAUUAUAAACAAUAUUUCUUUAUUUCACCGAGCCUAUCAAACAUCUACCCAAACCAUCUUUUGAACCCAUUUUCUCAACUUCCGCUAUAAAAAUCAUCUAACUCCAUCUAUCUACAAAAUUGAACAAACUUCUCGUCGACGAUCGGGCAAUCAAGUGAAUCGACUCAAUCAACCGAGCCGGAUCACAUCAUUAACUCAACAACGGAGAUUCGACUACACUAUGCCCCCGAUGAACGAAGGUUUGUUUUAAAUGAAAAAGGUAAAAUCGACCCUUAUUCUUUUGCUUAUCAAGGUAAGAUGCUUGAAACCUUUGAAACACUUUUGUACUCCUCGGAUAGCGAAAAAGAUCGUGUUGAUGAACACUUAGAUCGAAACGUGCUUGACUGUCCUAUUUUAUUUAUUGAUGAUAAAUCUAUUUUGAUGGUUGAUAAAAAGAUUCUUGUUUUUGAUAAUGCAUGUGUGAGUGAAUCUAUAGACCAUCGAUUAAGGCAUGGUAAUCUGAAUCUGUCCAUUCACAUGCGUUAUACCUGUUCUAUUAUGCUUAUAAUUGGACUACAAGCUUGUUUGCGUUGCUAUUUACUAUUUCAUGGCUAUUCUUUUCAGUGGACUCAAUUGCCAUUAGUCCCGUUCGAUCGAGGAAAGUCGAGUUCAUUUGAUUUUUUAGAUUCGAGGAUGAAUCUUUUUGAGGAAGGAGGGAAUGAUACGAGUUAUAAAGGCCCAAUCCAAGUUCAAGAACGUGAUGGGCUCAAAUUGCCACAAGGCCCAAUAACGAGAUCAAAGGCUCGACAAAUGCGGUCCAAACUAAAUGGGACCAUUCAAGAGCUUGUUAGCAAGGCCUUAGAUGCAUACACGAGAGAACAAGAAAAUCAAGAUUCACUUUCUUGUUUUCAAGAAAAUCAAGAAAUCGAAUCUUGGCCCAAUUUUGCUGUUCGAAGAGAUUUCAAGAAUCAAGAAAAUCAAGAUUUCAAAUCUUGGAAAUCUUGGUCCAAGAAACUAAAUCUUGCAGCCAAAAUGAUUGGAUCUCCAUUACGAGCGUCAACGACCCAAUUUUGGUAGGAGAUGGAUCACGAGCCAAAUUCUUGAAGGCGAGGCCCAAUAACCAAAAUCCAGCCCAAUCAAGAAAUUUCUUCAUACUUAGUUGAAAAUCAAGCCAAAAUGUCAAAGGGCCCAAUUUGUAAACAUCUUACUUGUUUAAUUUAAUUUUUUAAUCUUUAGGAGCAUUACAUGUAAAAUUCGGCCCAAAACAGCCCAUAUAAGUGCAUGGCCGAAUUUACCUUGUUAUUUUAUUAAUUAGGUUUAAUUUUUUAUUAGUUACUUGUGAGAUUAGGAUUUGUUGGAGGCCUAUAUAAGCAUUGGCCAGCCACCCUUUGUGAAAACAUCUUAUUAUUAUUUUUUCUAUCAAAUUUCAGAUUUGUUGAGUGCAGAAUUUUCUUUGGGGUUUUCUCCAAGAAUUCUCUCUUGAGUUUUCUUUAGAAGUUGUUUUAACAAUCUUUUGAUUGUGGGAGCCAUCUUCAACCUUCUUCUUGCCAUUGAUAUUCUUUGGAGGGGAGAUUAGAGCCGUUUGAAGAGAUUUGUGAAAUCUUUCGGGAUUUCAAGGAUCUUUAGGACUUAUCCUUUAAUUCUUGCUAUUUUCGAUUUCUUUCUUUACUUUUCUUUGCUUAUACUUGUGCCGAUUUCUCAUCUAAUAUUUUGCUGUUCUUGUUUGUUUUCCAGCAUUGAUUAAACUCAAGAUCUCAUCGUUUAAGUUGUUCUCCUAUUGGCAGCACCCAUUCGAACCCAAAAAUCCCCAAUUUCUAGGGUUUGGCCGAUUGGAUUUCUUUCAAUUUGGGAAUCAAUUGAUUGCUGGAAAUUGGGCAUUCUUGGCCGAAUCAAUUUGUUGACCGAUUCGCAAUCUUUCUAUACUUCCAAUUUCGUUUGAUUCAUCGAUUCUAUUUCUUUCUUCUUGCUGCUCAUUUAAUUGAAUUUGGGGAAUUUCAAUUCAAUUCAGAUUUGCUUUUAAUCUUAAUCUUUGUUUUUGAUUUCAGAUCUGUUCGUCUAGGAUCUUUCGUAGGAGUUUCCCGUGACUUGGCAACUCGAUCUUGGUCCGCGCACAACCCUUUAUUAGUAGUCUUCAUGAGCUAGAAUUCAACUCAUGAGCUAAAACCGAGCUGGACUUGGACCCAUGAGCUGGUAGUGAGUUGGACCCGAGCUGGGGAACUGGAAUGAGUUGAGCUGGACUUGCAGGUAGUUGCAUGGUGAGUUCAAGGAAUUGGAAUUAGCUUUCACGGAGUGUCCUAAUGGCGUUUCCAUCCAAAGUUGAGCUACAAAAGCUGUGAUGGACUCCUUAAACUUCUUGGCUUGAGCUCGAGUAACAGGACCUUGUGGUAGCACCAUAAAAUCCUCGCCCAAACUAGCUGAACCAUGGGGCGCGAUCACGUCAAUUCCCUAGCUCAAUUUAGCUCACUAAGUGUUUUUGACUAUUUGAGCUAGCUGAAUUUAUUAUAAGUUAACUUAUAACUAUUGUGUUCAAAUUUAGUUAGUGUGAUAGAGGAAUGCGCGCGGACCAAUAUCGAGUCGUCAAGUCACGGGAAACUCCUACGAAAGCUCUAAACGAACAGAUCUGAAAAUUAAAAACAAAGAUUAAGAUUAAACCGAAUCAGAUUUGAAUUUAAAAUUCCCAAAUUCAAUUAAAAGAGCAGCAAGAAGAAAAGAAAUAGAAUCGAUGAAUCAAACGAAAUUGAGAAGAAAGAAAAGAUGCAAGCCAAGGAAUUGAUUCGGCCAAGAAUGCCCAAUUUCCAGCAAACAAUUGAUUCCCAAAUUGAAAGAAAUCCAAUCGGCCAAACCCUAGGAAUUGGGGAUUUUUGGGUUCGAAUGGGUGCUGCCAAUAGGAGAACAACUUAAACGAUGAGAUCUUGAGUUUAAUCAAUGCUGGAAAACAAACAAGAACAGCAAAAUAUUAGAUGAGAAAUCGGCACAAGUAUAAGCAAAGAAAAGUAAAGAAAGAAAUCGAAAAUAGCAAGAAUUAAAGGAUAAGUCCUAAAGAUCCUUGAAAUCCUGAAAGAUUUCACAAAUCUCUUCAAACGGCUCUAAUCUCCCCUCCAAAGAAUAUCGAUGGCAAGAAGAAGGUUGAAGAUGGCUCCCACAAUCAAAAUAUUGUUAAAACAACUUCUAAAGAAAGCUCAAGAGAGAAUUCUUGGAGAAAACCCCAAAGAACAUUCUGCACUCUAACAAACUGAAAUUUAAUGUAUUGAAUGAUAAUAAGAUCCUUUUGCAAAGGGUGGCUGGCCAAUGCUUAUAUAGGCCUCCAACAAAUCCUAAUCUCACAAGUAACUAAUAAAAAUUAAACCUAAUUAAUAAAAUAACAAGGUAAAUUCGGCUAUGCACUUAUAUGGGCUGUUUUGGGCCGAAUUUUACAUGUAAUGCUCCUAAAGAUUAAAAAAUUAAAUUAAACAAGUAAGAUGUUUACAAAUUGGGCCCUUUGACAUUUUGGCCUGAUUUUCAACUAAGUAUGAAGAAAUUUCUUGAUUGGGCUGGAUUUUGGUUAUUGGGCCUCGCCUUCAAGAAUUUGGGCUCGUGAUCCAUCUCCUACCAAAAUUGGGUCGUUGACACUCGUAAUGGAGAUCCAAUGCGUUUUGGCUGCAAGAUUUGGUUUCUUGGACCAAGAUUUCCAAGAUUUGAAAUCUUGAUUUUCUUGAUUCUUGAAAUCUCUUCGAACAGCAAAAUUGGGCCAAGAUUCGGUUUCUGGAUUUUCUUGAAAACAAGAAAGUGAAUCUUGAUUUUCUUGUUCUCUCGUGUAUGCAUCUAAGGCCUUGCUAACAAGCUCUUGAAUGGUCCCAUUUAGUUUGGACCGCAUUUGUCGGGCCUUUGAUCUUGUUAUUGGGCCUUGUGGCAAUUUGAGCCCAUCACGUUCUUGUACUUGGAUUGGGCCUUUAUGACUCGUAUCAUAGUGAUAUUAAGCUAUUUAGUUAUUAUUUUAAAUUAUAAUUAUAUGAAUAGUUGUGUGUUAUUUAAUUAUGUUAUUUAAUUAUGUAGGUUAGCCGAAUUUGGAAGAUACAUUCAUGGCAUUUAAUGCAAGGUGCAUGAAUGGGAAUGUUCAUUGAACGGGAGGAUACAUGCAUGGACCGGUUUAAUGUUUGGAGGACAUACAUUCAUGUACAUGGAAGGUUAAUGCAUAUUGAAAGGUGCAUCUCCCUUGGACGGCACACAUGCAUGAAUGGGGGUAAUCAAUGCAAGUGCAUGUACAGCUAGGUUCAAGGCCCCUUCCAAGUUCCAUGUACAACCGAUGCAUGUGGGAGGACCCUUGGAGUUUCUUAAGCACCUAUUCGGCCAAGAGACACCCUUUGGGUGUUUCAUGCAUCCCAUGGUCGAACCUAGACAAUCCCAUUGGCUUCCAAAGCUUGCUCAUACAUGAAGCUGCCCAUUCACCUCCCAUUCGGCCGAACAUGGACAAGGUGAUGUGAUCCGGCCUGGGUUAAUUGAGUCAUUUCACGUAAUUGCCCGAUCGUCGACGAGGAAUAGUUGAGUUAUCGAAAAUAGGAUGAGAUAAGGCUAAAGAUGCGGAAGCUUUCAAAUGGUUUUAAAAGGUGGGCUAAGGAGAUGGUAAAUUUAUAAGGGGUAGUAGGUUCGAUUUAAUGAUAAAAAUAAGAAAAAAAUGGAAGUUGGAUAAAUGAAAGCUCGGUUUUGUAAAAAGAUAUAGUUGGGUAAAAUCUUGGGUAUUCGGUGGAAUGGAUAAAUGAGCUUAAACACCAGAAACGAUUCAACACUAAAAAGUGUCACCCCGAUUUCUAUUCGGUUCAAGGUGGGAUUACGGAAUUGUAGAAGGUUGAACGCCACACCAAAGCAAGGUGAUAAGUUCAAAAGAGAACGAUAGACGCCACUAGCACGCUAGAUAAGUCAGAUCGAAACUCGUACGAAUUUAGAGAGGAGAAAACUCACUCUUUGAACAAAGUUCAUUCAAAUGAUCAAAAGUCAAAAAGUCCUUUACAAAUGAAAGAAAACAAAUAUUUAUAGGCACAUAGAUGACCAUUCAAAUUCGGCAUCUAGGUGUUCACACAAUAAUAAAAACGUUCACACUAAUGUAUUAAAAUAGUUCAUAAAUUCGGCAGAUUCAUGCACUAGCUGAAUGAACACUUUCUUCCCCCUUAGUUUGUGCAUGAAUGCUUAGUCAUAAAGAAAGGCUUCAAGUGACUUGUAUGUGCACCAAAAGGUUGCAUUCAUCUCCUUGGGACGUUCAUGCACUUGUAUGGACCAUGUAUCUUCAUAAUUAAACACUUUAAUGGCAUGUAAGUUCAUAAAUGGUAGCAUGAACCUAGUAAAUUCGUUCUCCCCUUUGUGCAUGCACUUAAUUCAAUCAAUGUGUUGAAUUAUUGAGUUAAUUCCUUCCCUUGGACGUUCUUGAACCCAUCCAUGCAUGUGUAGUAGCCUAUAGGUCAAUUCAAAGUGUGAACAUGUUCAAGGAGCUCUAUGGUCAACAUAGAAUUAGUUAGCAGCUACUUCUUGGCCGAAUAAGUGCCUUGGAAAGUUAAGAGACAGCCACCAUACAUGCACUUAAGCCAUUCAUGCAUUCUAUCAUCCCAUGCAUUUGAUCCAUUCAUGGACUAGCCUUUAAUGUUCAUACAUGCAUUCGACACAUGCAUGAAUUUGUAGAAACACUGCAACUAGCCGUACAUGCACCAGCAUUUAAUACUUCUUCAUUCAUGAGUGUGGAAUGCCCAAAAGAGAUGUUUCUUCAUUCAUACAUUGUACCGUCCAAAGGAAUGUACCUACAUGAAAUAAACAAGUCAUUAAGACAUCUCAUGAACACUCAUAAAUUCGGCAUGAUGUGAACACAUUAAUGUCAUGCAUUAAUUCAGCUAUGUGAACAUAAUCAAUUUAUAUAAUGACAAUGACAUAUUAAUAACAAAUAUUAAUAUAAGACAAGUUUAAUGCUUAAAUGAAUACGUGCAAAUUUUUAUUUAAUGUAUUAAAGACAAAACCGAGUUUAAACUAAAAUGAGCUAAGCUUUAGCUCGUGAGCUAAAGUUGAGCUGAGGCUAAACUCCUAAGCUGAAGUUGAGCUAAGGUUUAGCUCGUGAGCUAAAUAUGAGCUAGGAGUGAGCUCGGUUUAGCUCAGGCAAGUUGGAUCGAGCUUGAAUAAGCUGGAUUUGAGCUAGACGGAGCUCGUGGAGCUGGAAACGAGCUGGGAUCAGCUUGCCAACAUGUCAAUGCUCGGCUUGACAGACUUGUUCGAUGAAGUUCACGGGGCGUGCUCGUAUCACAAGGACACCAUUGGUCAUUUUUCUAGAAGGUUCAUGUCUUAAUUUAGGUUCAUUACUUAAUCAUUAAGUUCAUGAAUGGACUAUUCGGUUAGCAUAAGAAACUAGUAUAAAUAGUUUGUUGAUUUCAUUUGUAAAGGACUUUUGCCAAAUUUGUUAAUGAACAUUUGUUCUUGUGAGGUUGCUUCCUCUCAUAUCUCGUACAAGUUUCGAAAGACUUAUCUGGCUUGUGCUAGUGGCGUCAAUCGUCUUGUUUGAACUUAUCACCAAUCUUGGUGUGGCGUUCACCUAUCCAUCUAUCCAUACUUCACCUUAACAAUAUAGGAACCGGGGUGACACUUCUUAGUGUUGAAUCAUUCCUGACGUUGAGUUCGUUUUCCAUUCCUAUCCUUUGAAUUAUUUUCUUGUUAUACCAAACCGACCCAUUUAUCCAUCACCCAUCUUCGCUACACAUAACCGAACCUAUUACUAAACUUACCCUUCUUGAAACCUUCCGCUUAUUCUAAUCCAUUAUUUUACUUUUAUUACUAAAAUCUGAGACACGAACAACUCUCUCGAACUAUGAUCGGGCAACUACGUGAAUUCGACUCAUCUACCCGGGCCGGAUCACAUCAUUUGGUAUCAGAGCUUGUAAAUCGAGAGGCGCUGACGUUCGUAUCAAGAUCGAACUAGGUUCGUUGUGAAAAAAAAUUCAAGUUGUAAUUUUCAUUCUCUCUCUUGUAAUAGUGAUAUUGUGAAGUAUUAAAAAAAGAGACAAAAAAAUGAAAUUAUAAAAAAAAAGUGAAGUGAUCAAGUUCUUCUUUUGUUUAUAUUUUGACCCGAUCGACAAAGUGUUCUUUUCAUCAACUUUGCACCCCAUUUCCAAAACGCCACACUACACCAAAGAAAAAUUUUCUUUUAGCCUACCCAUAACCUAUACAUCUUAUCCCUUGUAACCAAUUUUUGAAGCCGACCCCAAGGCACCUAGACGAGUCAAAAGAAACAAAAUACGAGGUUACGAGAGUAAGCUUGAGUGGUAAAAGGCUAGAGUGUAUGAGAUCAUUCGAGAGUUUAUAAAAAAGCCUAAAAACGAGUGCAAACACGAGUGGAGUGUUCAUCAAUUUUCUUUGCGAGUGAUUAGUGAGAUUUGUGGUGAGGAUUUGAAAAUUAUUGAAAAUUAUUAUGGAACGAAAUGUGGAGGAAAGGCAACCUGUUCGGAAUGUGCCAGAUUUGAAUAUGCAAGCCUUACUUCGAGAAGUUGAACGGUUGUUUGAUCGAAAGUUGGAACCAAUACAAGAUCGACUCGAUCAAGUGGAGGGAAGAGGCUGAUGAGCAAGGACCCCAAUAAGUCGAAGGCAUGUUCGAGAUGACGAAAUUUCCGAGCCAAGUGAAGCCGAAAGCGAGGCUGGUUCGAAUGUUAGUGCCUGGCAGAGAGGCCAACGUCAUCGUGGACAACGAGAGCGAGAAAGGUUCGAUGAUGACUUAAAAAGUAUUAGGUUAUCAAUUCCCCCGUUCCAAGGCCGUUCGGAUCCCGAAGCAUAUUUGGAGUGGGAGAAAAAGAUCGAACUCAUUUUCAAGUGCCAUAACUCCUCGGAGGUAAAGAAAGUUAAGUUGACUACCAUAGAAUUCACCGACUAUACCUUGAUUUGGUGGGACCAACUCACAACAACCCGAAGGCGAAAUGGCGAGCGUCCCAUUAACACUUGGGCCGAAAUGAAGGCUGUCAUGCGCCGAAGGUUCAUUCCAACACACUACCACUGAGAACUUUACCAAAAACUCCAAAAUCUCUCCCAAGGUAUGAGGAGUGUCGAGGAUUAUUACAAAGAAAUGGAAGUUGCUAUGAUCCGUGCGAAUAUGGAUGAGGAUCGAGAAGCAACUAUGGCUAGAUUUCUGUUUGGACUUAACCGUGAGAUUGCCAAUGUUGUGGAGCUACAACAUUAUGUGGAAAGAGUUGAUAUGGUCCACAUGGCCAUCAAAAUCGAGAAGCAACUCAAGAAGAAAGGUGCUGCCCGAGGCUAUUCAACCACCAAUGUGUCUCGAUGGAACCAAGGCACUAGCAAGAAUGCUACGGAGAGCCAAACAAAAGAUCCUAAGGCACCUAUCAAAGCUACCAAACCUACGGGUGAAAAUAGCAAAGGCAAGGCUGUUGAAGGUACUCAAAACCGGACGAGAGACAUAAAAUGUUUCAAGUGCCUUGGAAGAGGGCAUAUUGUGAGUCAGUGUCCGAAUCAGAGCGUCAUGGUGAUUUAACCAAAUGGCGAUAUUGAAUCGGAGGAGGAGGAGAAUGAAAAAGUUGAAAACAAUAACGAAACCCUUUUCGAUGCCGAGGAAGAAAUGGAGUACACGAUCGAGGGUGAGAUGUUUGUUGUUAAGAGAAGCUUAGGUUCGCAAGGUACCGAACUUGAUCUGCAACGAGAGAACCUUUUUCAUACAUGUUGUUUUGUUCGUGGAAAGGUUUGUAGCGUAGUGAUUGAUGGAGGAAGUUGUACAAAUGUUGCGAGUACCCUCCUAGUUGAAAGACUUGAUUUGCCGACAAGUGUUCAUCCAAGUCCAUACAAGCUACAAUGGCUUAAUGAUGGAAUUGAGCUAAAGGUAACCAAGCAAGUUCUUGUUCCAUUUUCAAUUGGAAAGUAUGAAGAUGAAGUUCUUUGUGAUGUGGUGUCCAUGCAUGCGGGACAUAUACUACUUGGGAGGCCCUGGCAAUUCAACCGAAGAGUGAAGCAUGAUGGGUUUGCAAAUCAAUAUACUUUUAAGUAUCAAGGCUGAAAUUUUACUUUGGAACCUUUGACACCAAAACAAGUUGUGGAGGAUCAACAAUGGUUAAAGCAAUCUUUGGAACGAACGCGAGAGGAAAAAGAAAUUGAAAGAGAAAAGAAAACGAGUUGUGAUAAAAAAAAUGAGAGAAAAAGAAAUUCAAAGAAACAUGAGUGAAGAAAAGAAAAGAGUUUUGAUUAACCAAAGUUUUCUUCGUUCUAAUUCUUUUCAGGUUGACUCAAGCCCUAUGAUGCGGUUACGAUACAUUCCCGAGGAGAGAAGGUUUGUAAUGAUUGGAAAAGGUAAAGUUAAUUCUUGUUUUUGUGAACAAGGUAAGGUUUCUGGAAUUUCUAUUACAUUUUUGCCCAACUUGAUUGAUGAAGAAAACAUUAACGAUGAAGAUAUAACUGUUUUGGUUGAUGGACACAAGACUUUUGAUAAGCAUAAAGUUGAUAAGUUUGAUGAAUUCUUGCUGUCCAAAUUGCGUAGUUUAAGAGCACAAAAACAUGAGAUAAAUUUUUCUUUUCCAUUGUUUGCCUAUGAUAGACAUAUGCAGGUUUUGAAAUGUCAAAUGAAUUCCUAUCGAAGUUCUAAUACUUCGCAAGUACAAUUUGAAAUGAACAAGCGAAGUACGGAAUCCUUGUUCAUUAAGUUUUUGAAUGAGAUAUGAUUAUUUGAUAGUGAACAUGGGAUAUUGAUAUUAUUCUGUUGUGAUGGUCUUAAGUGUGAGAAGACUUGCUUCCAUGACCGUUUGAAUAAGUUUCUGCUUUGUAAUGAUUCUCAAUUGGUUGCAAGUUAUGAAACGUUUUUGUAGCAAGGCAUGAUGUGUCCACUAAACACAUCCAUCCAAGAACGAUCAAGUAGGCAUCCCUGUUUCAAAAUUAAUGAUACGAGCACGCCCCGCAAACUUUAUCGAGCAAGUCUGUCAAGUCGAGCAAUGACAUGUUGGCAAGCUGAUCCCAGCUCGUUUUCAGCUCCACGAGCUCCGUCCAGCUCAAAUCCAGCUUAUUCGAGCUCAAUCCAUCUUGCCUGAGCUAAACCGAGCUCACUCCUAGCUCACUUUCAACUCACGAGCUAAACCUUAGCUCAACUUCAGCUUAGGAGUUUAGCCUCAGCUCAACUUUAGCUCACGAGCUAAAGCUUAGCUCAUUUUAGUUUAAACUCGGUUUUGUCUUUAAUGCAUUAAAUAAAAAUUUGCACAUAUUUAUUUAAGCAUUAAACUUGUCUUAUAUUAAUAUUUGUUAUUAAUAUGUCAUAGUCAUUACAUAAAUUGAUUAUGUUCACAUAGCUGAAUUAAUGCAUGACAUUAAUGUGUUCACAUCAUGCCGAAUUUAUGAGUGUUCAUGAGAUAUCUUAAUGACUUGUUUAUUUCAUGUAGGAACAUCCCUUUGGACGGUACAACGUGAUACGGGGUUGCGCGUGGACCAAGAUCGAGUUGCCAAGUCACGAGAAACUCCUACGAAAACCCUAAACAAUUAGAUCUGAAACGAAACAGAAAAUUAAAAGAUUAGAUUUUUGAAUUUUCAGAUCUGAAAUAAAAUCCCCAAAUCAGCAAAGAAUCAAAUUGAGAAUAGAAAUAAGUGUUAGGGUUCUUGAAACCCUCAAGGAGAUUGUGAUUCUGCCCAAUUGAACACCAAGAUAGUUUUCCCCAAAUUUCGACAAUCUAAUUUCACCCAAAAAGAGUAUGGAAAAACCCUAGAAAUUGGGGAUUUUUGGGCUGAUUCCUUAAGAUAGAAAAAGGCUGAAAACACAAUAAAAACAGAAAAUAGAUUAGAUAAUGAUUCAGCACAAGUAGAAAUAAAGAAAGAACUGACAGUAAGAAAUUAAAAGAUAAGUCCUAAGAAGCCUUGAAAUCUCGAAAGAUCUCACAACUCCCUUCAAACGGCUCUAAUCUCCCCUCCAAAGAAUAUCAAUGGCAAGAAGAAGGUUGAAGAUGGCUCCCACAAUCACAAGAUUGUUAAAACAACUUCUAAAGAAAACUCAAGAGAGAAAUCUUGGAGAAAACUCAAAGAAAAUUUUGCUCUCAACAAAUCUGAAAUUUUAAUAAUAAUGAUAAGUGUUUAACAAGGUGGACAGCCAUGCCUUUAAAUAGGCCUUAUAACUAGUCCUAAUCUAAUUAGAAAACUAAAAUAAAAAAAACUCCUAAUUAUUUUAAUAUGGAAAUUCGGUAAAAGGUCAUUUUAUCUGGGACUCUUGGACUGAAUAUUGACAUAAAAAUUUAAACUAAGUAAAUAAAUAAAUAAAUAAAUAAAUAAAAAUAAAAAUAAAACUUUACAACUUGGGCCACUUUGACAAUUUGGCCUGAUUUUCAACUAAGUAUGGAUGGAUUUCUUGAUUGGGCUGGGAAUUUGCUUAUUGGGCCUCGCCUUCAAGAAUUUGGGCUUUUGUGACUCGUAUCACAAUGUAUGGAUAAAGAAACAUCUCUUUUGGGCAUUCCACACUCAUGAAUGAAGAAGUAUUAAAUGCUGGUGCAUGUACGGCUAGAUGCAAGGUUUCUACAAAUUCAUGCAUGUGUCGAAUGCAUGUACGGACAUUAAAGGCUAGUCCAUGAAUGGAUCAAAUGCAUGGGAUGAUAGAAUGCAUGAAUGGCUUAAGUGCAUGUAUGGUGGCUGUCUCCUAACUUUCCAAGGCACUUAUUCGGCCAAGAAGUAGCUGUUCACACUUUGAAUUGACCUACAAGCUACUACACAUGCAUGGAUGGGUUCAAGAACGUCCAAAGGAAGGAAUUAACUCAAUAAUUCAACACAUUGAUUGAAUUAAGUGUAUGCACAAAGGGGAGAACGAAUUUACUAGGUUCAUGCUGCCAUUUAUGAACCUACAUGCUAUUAAAGAGUUUAAUUAUGAGGAUACAUGUUCCAUACAAGUGCAUGAACGUCCCAAGGAGAUGAAUGCAACCUUUGGUGCACAUACAAGUCACUUGAAGCCUUUCUUUAUGAUUAAGCAUUCAUGCACACACUUAGGGGGAAGAAAGUGUCCAUUCAACUAGUUCAUGAAUCUGCUGAAUUUAUGAACUAUUUUAAUACAUUAGUGUGAACGUUUUUAUUAUUGUGUGAACACCUAGAUGUUGAAUUUGAAUGGUCAUCUAUGUGCCUAUAAAUAUUUGUUUUUCUUUCAAUUGUAAGGGACUUUUUGCCAAAAUUUUUAUUGAAUUUAAUCUUGUGAGAAUUUUCUUCUCUAAACUUUGUUUGAGACUUUGUUGACUUAUCUACCUAGUAGUGGCGUCAACCCUGUUUCGUUCACCCAUAUACCGAGGUUCCUACUUUGUUAAGUAGUGGGUCGAGGUUCUAUCAUUUUCAUUUUCGCCUUGAAAGCCUAUAAGCAUUUGGGUCGAUAUAUUCUAAUAUUGGUUCGUGCUUGCUUUUGAGUUCCUUCUUUCCAUUCUUUCAUUUACUUUAAACCGAACCUUAAUAUUCAUAUUUUAACCCCUUCAUUUGAACCCCUUGAAUAGCUUCCGCAUAAUUUAUUUAGAAACAUCUUUUUUGAACAAACCGAAUGAUACUUUCUCGUAGACGAUCGGGCAAACUCGCAUACGACUCGACUCUCCCCGAGUUGGUUGGUAUCAAUUAACCAUCAGCUCGACUUGAGGACAAGUCGCUUUGAAGAUGGGGGAAUGAUGUGAGCACACCCGGGGCAUCCUCGAAAGCACACCAAGGAUCUAUUAAGCUGCCAAAAGGUCACAUGACCCGAGCUCAAACCAAGCAACUUCAAGAUGCUAUAUCAGCCUUUGUGAUGCGCAUUUAGGAAGAUAACCAGCUCUAUAACGUUGGAGGAGUUAAGAAUAACUCCUUGAAGACUCCAUGCACCAUUUUGCAAUCCGACCUUAGCUCCUCUUCAGCUCCCCUAUGCGCCAUUCAGUUCCCAUCAGCUCACUUGAGCUCGUUUUAGCUCGUUUGAGCUCGAAUUUAGCUCGUUUCAGCUCAUUCCUUUUUCAUUUCAAUAAAUUAAGUAUUAAUCUAGCUUAUAACUAAGUUUGUUACAGCUCAUGCCGAAUUCCCUAGCUCAAUUUAGCUCACUAAGUGUUUUUGACUAUUUGAGCUAGCUGAAUUUAUUAUAUGUUGACUUAUAAUUGUGUUCAAAUUUAGUUAGUGAUAUUAAGCUAUUUAGUUAUUAUUUUAAAUUAUAAUUAUAUGAAUAGUUGUGUGUUAUUUAAUUAUGUUAUUUAAUUAUGUAGGUUAGCCGAAUUUGGAAGAUACAUUCAUAGCAUUUAAUGCAAGGUGCAUGAACGGGAAUGUUUAUUGAACGGGAGGAUACAUGCAUGGACCAGUUUAAUGUUUGGAGGACAUACAUUCAAGUACAUGGAAGGUUAAUGCAUAUUGAAAGGUGCAUCUCCCUUGGACGGCACACAUGCAUGAAUGGGGGUAAUCAAUGUAAGUGCAUGUACAACUAGGUUCAAGGCCCCUUCCAAGUUCCAUGUACAACCGAUGCAUGUGGGAGGACCCUUGGAGCUUCCGAAGCACCUAUUCAGCCAAGAGACACCCUUUGGGAGUUUCAUGCAUCCCAUGGCCGAACCUAGACAAUCCCAUUGGCUUCCAAAGCUUGCUCAUACAAGAAGCUGCCCAUUCACCUCCCAUUCGGCCGAACAUGGACAAGGACACCAUUGGUCAUUUUUCUAGAAGGUUCAUGUCUUAAUUUAGAUUCAUUACUUAAUCAUUAAGUUCAUGAAUGGACUAUUUGGUUAGCAUAAGAAACUAGUAUAAAUAGUUUGUUGAUUUCAUUUGUAAAGGACUUUUGCCAAAUUUGUUAAUGAACAUUUGUUCUUGUGAGGUUGCUUCCUCUCAUAUCUCGUACAAGUUUCGAAAGACUUAUCUGGCUUGUGCUAGUGGCGUCAAUUGUCUUGUUUAAACUUAUCACCAAUCUUGGUGUGGCGUUCACCUAUCCAUCUAUCCAUACUUCACCUUAACAAUAUAGGAACCGGGGUGACACUUCUUAGUGUUGAAUCAUUCCUGACGUUGAGUUCGUUUUUGUAAUAGCCCAAAAUUGGGUCUAGUUAGAACAGAGGUUUCGAAACAACAAAAUCUAAUAUAUAAAUAAUUAUUUUAUGAUUAUUUUGAGGUCUAUGAUAUGAUUGCAUGAUUGUGUGAAAAUUUCGUAAAGAAAUUCUAUGCAUAAAGUGCUUAAUUCGAAGUUAGGGACUAAAUUGAAUAAGUUCCAAAACUUGCAUUCUAGAAGUUUCUAGCAUGAAAUUGAUUUGAAAUAUUAAUUAGGAGGUCUUAAAUAGCAAUUUGACCAAUUUCUAAGUUAUGGACAAAAAUUGGACAUGGAUGGAAUUUUUGGAAAGUUUAGUAGUAAGGGUAUUUUGGUCAUUUAGGGGUAAAAUGAAUUAAAAUACAAAAUUAAAAGCCAAUUUUGCUCAUCUUCUUCACCAUGGAUGUGUAUACCAAGGGAGACUCCAUGUCUAGGGUUUUCAAGCUUCCCAAGCUCAAUUGUAAGUCUGUUCUAACCCCGUUUUUCAAGUUCUUUACGUUUUUGGAGUCCCGGUAACUUGAUUUAGCUUAUGCUAGCAAUAAUUCAACCUAGGGUUCAUAUUUGGAAAAUAACCAUAGGUAAAAUUUGUGUAUUCUGGUGUUUUAUGAUACAAUAUGAGGUUUUAAAUUAUGUUAGACAACUUGUGCUACUCGGUUUUAAGUGAAAACGAGCAAAAGGGCUUAUCGGUAAAAAUACCUAAUAGUCAUAAGUAUAUGUUAGAGUGAGAAUUUGAUGUUGCCAUAGAAGGGAAAAGUGAUCAUCAUGUCAUAAAACAUAAGAAUAAGGGAUGAAUUUUAAUUCCUGAGCCUAGGGGCAAAAGUGUAAAUAUGCAAAAGUUUAGGGGAAAAAUUAUAAUUUUUCCAAAGUUUGAGUUAAGGACUGUUUUGAAUAUUACAUUAAUUAAAUAAGUAAAAUAUGAUGUUUUAGAUCCCGAAAAACGAGAUUUGAACCUAGAAUGAGAGAAAAAUCAAAAAUUGGGAAAGUUGGUAAAAUGGCCGUUUUAAUAUUAAGGUAAGUUCAUAUGUAUAAUAAGCAUUAAUUUAUGCAUGUUUCAAUGUAAAAUUGAUAUAUUUACUAUGAUCUCCGAGGUGUUGAAAGUAUGUAAGUUGGUAUGAUAAUAAUACAACAAUAAUGCUGUAAUUUAUAUUUGAAAGUUAAAUUUAGUGAAUUAAUUGAAUUAUGUUAAAUUAAAUGAUUAUGGUGCAAAGUUUAUGAAUUGAUUUAAAAAUAUGUCUAUGGUACAUGAAGUGCAUUGAAUUAUCAUACAUAAAUGUGAUUUCUAUGAUUAUGGAUAUUACGGGAAAUUGUAAGUUCAUAUGAUUUUUAAUAAGACAAUGUGUAAUUUAAUGUUAUUGCAUUGAUAUUAAAUGAGAUGUAAGUUUAUAUGUAAGUAAUACAUCACUAUUACUUGUAUUAUGAUAUUUUAUAAAAAUAUUGGAAAUAUGUUUGUGGAUAAUUACUUGAUUGGUGAAAUUGUUGGAAAAGAGAGAGAAAUCCCGGUUGAACCUUCGGAAAGAUUGGAUUAUACAGAUGGUAUGUAGCUAGGUCACAUGUAUAGUGCUGAGUGCACAUCAUGUGUACAAGAGAGCUACAAGACAUUAUGAUGUAGCUAGGUCGCAUGGGUGAUACUAUGUGUACACCAUGUAGACAAGAGAGCUACGGGAUAUAUGUAGCUAGGUCGCAUGCGUGGUUCCAAGUGAAGGACACCAUGUAGACAAGAGAGCUACGAGAUAAACUGGCUAAGUCACAUGGGUGGUACUAAGUGUUCACCAUGUGUACAAGAGAGCCGAACUAUAUGAUGGGUGGAGCUAUGUGCUGAAACCACCAAGUAUCGAGGAUUGAUCCGAAGUGUUCAACGGGAGACUCUCUAUGUAUUGCUUUGUGAGUUUUGUGAAGAAUAUGUGCAGGAACUUGGUUAUGUGAAUGAUGUGUUCAUUAAGUGACCAGGAUGUGGUAAGGUUAUAAACAAGUAAGUUAUACAUGAGGAUGAUUUUAUGGUGACCUUGUGAUCAUGGGCCUAUACUUGUGAUGUAUGAAAUGUGGUGAAAAUGAUUUGUGAUAUGUAUGUUAAAAUGAGGUUAAUACAAAGAAAGUGUGAAAGAGUGAAUUAGCAAUAAAACUGUUUUGGACAGUAGCAGUGACGUGAUUUUGAAAAAUCACCAAAAAUAGUAUAAAUUGAAUCAGAGACUGAAUGAGAUAUCAAAUUAAAGCUUAAUGAGUAUAUUUUCAUAUAAAAGAAACAUAGACAACAAAGGAGUUCUAUAUUUUUAGAUAUUUAUGUUUUCAUGAGACUGAUUCAAAAUUAUUACGUGAUCCCCUAUUCUGACUUUAGAAAAUCACAAAAAUUUGGAGAAAAAUAAUUAGAGGCUAAAAAUUAUAUUUUUAAAAUCCAUAAUGAGUCCAUUUUCAAGAUAAAUCAACAAGAACAUUAUCCGAGUUCUGUACUGUGAGAUAAUUAUUUUUUUAGUGAAGAGAGGUCAGAACUGUCAGAAAGUGAAACAAGGGAAAUUUUAAUGAAUAAACUGUACUAAUUGGCUGAACCAAAAAUUAUGAAAAUUUUAUGGUGGAACGAUAUGUGAGUCUAGUUUCAGGGGAAAUUUAGGGAUCUUAAUUUGGAGCUUUGUAGCUCAAAUUAUAAAUAAUUAAGUGACUAUGACUCGUGUGGACAGUUUGAUGUGAACAUUUAUUAGUAAAUUGUGAAAUCGUACUUACAAGAAUGCUAUAUACAUUAAGGAUGUGGAAUGGAGAGGAGGAGGAGGAAAAUAAAUAUAUGCGGAAUACAUGGAAACUAUGGUAUAUGAAAUAUUGAUAUAAUGAAAUAAAUGAUAUGUGUUUAUAAGAAAACAAAAAGAGAAUGUUAUGUAUCAUGACAUGUAUAUAUAUAUGACUAGUCUCAAUGUAAUGCUUGCUGGGUAUGGAAUUGAAUUGAAAUGUUUCAGGCAAAUAUGUUAUUCUGCGCAUCUGAAUCGUGGUAUUUUAUAAAGAUAUGAUCUAGCUUUAAAUAUGAAUGCUUGAUGAUUAAGCUGAAGAUAUUUGGUAUGAUGAUAAUCUUGGUAUAAAUGUAUAAGUGGUACUAUAAUAAACAAGGUAAAAUGAGUAUGAGAGACACAUGUAUGAUGACAUACAAAUGUUAUGUUUGUGGUUUAAUUGAGGAUGUUUAAUCAUUAAAUGAAUACCAUGUUAUAUGCUUUUGAUUUUGUAUAAGUGUGUAAGAGGUCAAGGUUGACCAAAGCUUGGAAAAUAGCCUAGGUAUAUUCCACACAGGCAGAGACACGACCAUGUGUCUCAGCCGCGUAUGGAACACGACUUUGGGACACGGGCGUGUGGAGCCUUAAAGCAUGAAAUUUCCAAGAUUUUUGUAAGUUCUCAGUUUAGUCCCAAGCCCUUUCUAAAGUAUGUUUUGGGCUCCGUAGACUCAAAUAAGGGACUGUGUAAGAGAAUGAAACGCUUUGAAAUAUGAAUAAAAUUUUAUGGCUCGUAUUUUAGUUUAAUGUUUGUAUAUUUUUCUGGUAACGCCUCGUACCUUAGCCCGGCCUCGGAUACGGGUAAGGGGUGUUACAGUUUUCCAUUCCCAUCCUUUGAAUUAUUUUCUUGUUAUACCAAACCGACCCAUUUAUCCAUCACCCAUCUUUGCUACACAUAACCGAACCUAUUACUAAACUUACCCUUCUUGAAACCUUCCGCUUAUUCUAAUCCAUUAUUUUACUUUAAUUACUAAAAUCCGAGACACGAACGACUCUCUCGAACUACGAUCGAGCAACUACGUGAAUUCGACUCAUCUACCCGGGCCGGAUCACAUCACUUUCCGAGCGAAAUUGUGAGGUUUGUGUUGAGGUACUUAAAUUUUUUUAUUUUGUUUUGUGAUCUAACAUUUUCUUUUCAGUAACAAAAAUCAUGUCACGCAAAGAGUUCACCAAAUCAGAAUACCAAUACUUGGUACAAGAAAUGCAAAGAAUGGUGAAAUCCAAAUUUGAUAAGUUGCAUGAUAGAUUAGAUCGAUUGGAACAAAGAGAUCCACGAGAACGAGUUUCAUCAAGGUGAAACAUAGAGUCGAGAACCCCACGAAGAUAUACACCCAAUUAUUACUUGAGAAAAGAGUCCCAUUGUGAUUCCUGUUCGACAUCGACUUCAAGACCAAGAGAUUACUAUCAAGAUUCUUUUUUGUCAAGGAAUUCUAGAAGUCAAGAAGCCGACUAUGAUUUUUACUCCGUUCGAGAAGACGUCCAAAAUGAAAUCCGAAGAGAUAGAUAUACCUCUUCCCAAACUUUAAACAAAUCAUUCAAGGAGUGUUCUACACGAAGUUUUUCACAUGCAAAUAGUUCUUGGCCUUUCGAACAUGAUCUCUAUUCUCAUGAUUCUUUUGUACAUUCUUGUAACGAGAAAACAAAGAAAAGAAAAAGCAAAAGAAGAAAAAGAAAACGAAAUAAAAAGAAAAGAGCGGCAAGAGGCAAGUAAGAGAGAAAAUGAGUGAAUCUUGAGAGAACUUGAAAAAGCCUUUAAGAAAGCUUUGGAAAACAAAAAGGAAAUGAAAAAGAAAAUGAGAUUGAAAAAGAGAAUGAAAAAGAGUUUGAGAGUGGAAAAGAAGAUGAAAAAAAAUUGAAAUAAAAGGAACGAGUGAUUCAGAAGAAAAAGAAUCAAGUGAGAAAACAAGUAAGCAAGUGAGGAUUAUCUCUACUAACCCACAUGUUCGAUCUUCUUGUGAGUUAACUUUUCAGGUUCCUAGAAGAUUGUGCGACCAAUUCCAUCUACAUUACCUUCCAAACGAGAGGUGUUUUAGGUUGUUCAAAAAAGGUAAGUUCACGAAUGACAGCCACCCACUUGCAAUUGAAGGUAAGAAAGGUAAGGAUUCCUUAUUUAUGGAUUCGAUGCCGUUUAAAUACAAAGUUGCUCAUAUAGAUUUUUAUGGCCUUAUUUUUGAAAAUCUUCCAUCUUUUGAUUUGGUUAAUUACUGUUUACAUAUUAAUGUUAAUGAUGUUGUUUCAACAAUGUCAUGAAAAUUCCAUCUUAUGACCUGUUUUAUAACGACAAUUCUAUUGAUUCUGCUGGAUUGGUUCAUCUUGUGCAAAUUGUGAAUGUGUGUGAUAACAAUUUUUCACAUUCUGAUUUGCUUGAUUAUAAAAAUUCUUUGAAUUCAUCUUUCUGUUUAAACGUGCCUAUUCAAAUGAUUUGUGAUGGAUUUGAAUUUCUGAAAGGUCGCAUGAUCACAACUUCUUUGCUCGAUAUAUGCGUUAAAAGAUUUUUGCAUGAAAUAAUUGAUCUGUUUGACUUUGUUCUUCAAGAUAAAUCUCUGAAAUUUUGUGCAAGAUUUCCAUACUUUGAUCUAUCUGUUCAAGUAGAAAUUACGAUGCAAGAUUGUUUGAGUAUUUGCAUGUUUAAGUUUCCUUUGAUUUACUUGCAUGAUAACAUGUUCAUCAUUUCUUUGGUGAUAAAAUGAAUAUGCUUGGUUGUGCCAAUUUUUCAAGUCUAAUUGAACGAGUGAAAUUUGAAUCAUGCAAUGAGUUGAUUAUAUUUUCCUUAUUUAACAUGUUUCCUGCUAAAUCAAAUGACCAAGUUCGUGUGUUCAAGCCUGGUAUUUGCUACAUAAAUUCAUUUUAUGGAAACAUUAAGCACUUUGCAUCAUUUGCAUUCAAAUUAUGUUUGCUUGAUGUUUGAACUUUUGAUAAGAAGGUGAAAUUCAAUGAUUUGGGUUUCAAUUUUUAUUCGUUUACUAAUCACCUUGUUUGGCCACAUCUAAAAUUUUUGUUCCAUUUUGAGAAGGUAAGAUCUACUUAUGCUUUGGGACUUGAAUCAAAUUUCAACGAUGAUUUUUUUUUUCAGUCUAUACCUCCUAUUGAAACUAACCUUUUACAUUUUUGUGAAUGUAACCCUUUAAAAAGCACAAGCUGUCACAGUGCUUCGUCACCUACCCAAGUUGAUCGAGAUAAAAUGUUUGUUUUACAUUAUUUGACCGAAGAGAGAAGAUUCAUCUUGUUUGAAAAAGGUAAAACCGAUCAUAAAUUUUCUUCUCUUCAAGAUCGACAAGGUAAAGUUUACGAAAAUUUUCAAAUACCUUUACUCUAUUCAAAUGUUGUUGAGAAUCUUUUUGAUGGUUUGAUGUUUGGAAAUUGUUUGUACCUUGUUGUGAUUGAUUGUUGUCUUUGGCCUAGUAGUGAUCCAUUUGUGUUGGAAAGUGAUUACACAAAUCAUGUUGUUAAUAAGCAAAAGAGUGAGUUAGUUUCCAAUUGGCCAUGGUACACUUUGCGUGUACAUUCCCAUGAAUUGUUAUUUUUGAAUAAAAAUAUUGAAAAGUUUUGUUGUGGAUUAACGUUUUUAUUAUUGUGUGAACACCUAGAUGCCGAAUUUGAAUGGUCAUCUAUGUGCCUAUAAAUAUUUGUUUUCUUUCAUUUGUAUAGAGGUUUUUUUUUGAACUUUGUUUUAUUGUUUCUUUGUUAAUGAAACUAUUUGGAGAGGAUCUUUCUCCCAUAUUUCGUUGAAGACUUGUUGGCCACCCUUAUACUGAGGUUCCUACUUUGCUAAGUAGCGGGUCGAGGUUUAUCACUUUCAUCCUCUACCUUGAAAGCCUAUAAGCAUUUGGGUCGAUAUUUUCUAAUAUUGGUUCAUGCUUGGUUUUAAGACCCCUUUCUUCCAUAUCCAUCAUUAAACCAUUAUACAUAGCUUCCGUCCUAUUUUCCUAUCAACUUCAUUCCAAAAGCGAAUUGAACGAUACUUUCUCUUAGAUGAUCGGGCAACUCAGCAUACGACUCGACUCUCCCCGAGGCGGUUCGUAUCAUAUAAACUAUCAAAAGUACCAAAACAGUGACGAUAGUGUAGAUGAUUUUGAACUUGAAAUCCCCGAGCUCGUAGCUUUCAACAAAAUCUAUAAAAUAGGACAACACAAAACAUUCACAGUAAGCCGUUAAGCUUAGUAAGUCUUAAGUAUCUUAAACAACAAAACUUAAUUAUACACAUUAUAUCAUAUUCGAAAUAUAAGACCAAUUGACCGAAAAUACAUAACCACGUAAAAUCCAUUUCAACUACUUAUUAUUUCUUCAGAGUUCGAAUUGAAUAAUCAUACCUUCUAAAUGACUCGUAGUAACUCAUCGAUUCAACCUUAUAAUUUCAAUGAUCAUAAUUAUAUGUAUAUAACUAUACUUCUAUGUACUAAAUUCAAGAUGGCCGAAUAUAAAUAUACACAACCACCAUCCAUAUACUUCUCAUUUCAAUUCAUACUUUAAUUCACAUCUCUUCAUAUGUAUAACAAUUUAUACGUACCUGGACAAUUUAAUCUAUCGAAUGAAUCUAGAUAUCGUAUAGUUUAAUCUCAUAUUCAUAGACUUUUAUUAUUUCACCGGUAAUUUGCCUGCUAAGUAUAAACCCGAACUUAACACCGGCACGAGGCCUGCUAGGUAUAAACCUGAAUUUAUCACUGGUACGAGGCCUACUAGGUAUAAACCUAAAUUUAUCACCGGCACGAGGCCUGCUAGACAUUAAGUCUGAAACUCAUUCACCGGCAUUAUGUCUGCUAGGCUCAUGGCCCGAAACAAUUCCACCUGCUAAAAGCUUGCUGAGCUAUAGGCCCGAAUAAUAAUUCGAAUACAAAUUUCACAAAUUCAUAACAUAUACACUUCUUAUAUUUAUGCAUUUCACAUAAGCUAAUCACAUUAGUCCUCUUUGACUUCAUUCACGUAUAAUCACUUGAUAACUAUCACACUAUUGCUUCUUAAUUUACCAUUACAUAUCUCCAAUCUAAUGAAUACAUCUCAUAGCAAGAUGAUCAUAACAAAUUUCCUUAUUUAAAUCUCAUGCAUACUAUUCGGCUUCAAGUAUGUGUAUAUAUAUACACUAAAGGUAUGGCAAAUUUCUCGUGACAUAUCAUGAUUCAUUCAUAAAUAGCUUAUGUUUAAAUACUGAAAACUUACCUCGAGUGAUACGAUCCGCCUCGAGGUGAGUCGAGUCGUAUGCGAGUUUGCCCGAUCGUCUACGAGAAAGUAUCGUUCGGCUCUUUUAAAGAAGAUGUUUUUAGGUUAAAUAAUGCAGAAGCUUUUUAAAAAGGGUUUGAAGAUGGGUUUGAGAUAUGAAUAAUAAAGGUUUGGUUUUAAAUGAAACAAAAGAAUGAAAAUAGAUUGAAGGUAGUUUAAUAAAUGAUGGUUAUGAAGAUGAUACGAGUCACAAAAGCCCAAAUUCUUGAAGGCGAGGCCCAAUAAGCAAAUUCCCAGCCCAAUCAAGAAAUCCAUCCAUACUUAGUUGAAAAUCAGGCCAAAUUGUCAAAGUGGCCCAAGUUGUAAAGUUUUAUUUUUAUUUUUAUUUAUUUAUUUACUUAGUUUAAAUUUUUAUGUCAAUAUUCAGUCUAAGAGUCCCAGAUAAAAUGACCUUUGACCGAAUUUCCAUAUUAAAAUAAUUAGGAGUUUUUUUUAUUUUAGUUUUCUAAUUAGAUUAGGACUAGUUAUAAGGCCUAUUUAAAGGCAUGGCUGUCCACCUUGUUAAACACUUAUCAUUAUUAUUAAAAUUUCAGAUUUGUUGAGAGCAGAAUUUUCUUUGAGUUUUCUCCAAGAUUUCUCUCUUGAGUUUUCUUUAGAAGUUGUUUUAACAAUCUUUUGAUUGUGGGAGCCAUCUUCAACCUUCUUCUUGCCAUUGAUAUUCUUUGGAGGGGAGAUUAGAGCCGUUUGAAGGGAUUUGUGAAAUCUUUCGGGAUUUCAAGGAUCUUUAGGACUUUCUUUAUUUCUUGCUGUUUCAUUUUAUUUCUUUAUUCCUACUUAUGCCGAUUCUUUAUCUCAUUUGUUUGCUGUUCUUCUUGUGUCUUUCCAGCCAUAUUCAACUCAAAGAAUCGAAUUAAAUCAUCAUUCAUUGGCAGCAAAGAGUCGUUCUCAAAAAACCCCCAAUUCCUAGGGUUUGGCCAAUUGGAUCUCUUUCAAUUUGGGAAUCAAUUGAUUGCUGGAAAUUGGGCAUUCUUGGCCGAAUCAAUUCCUUGGCAGAUUCGCAUCUUUUCUUUCUUCUCAAUUUCGUUUGAUUCAUCGAUUCUAUUUCUUUUCUUCUUGCUGCUCUUUUAAUUGAAUUUGGGAAUUUUAAAUUCAAAUCUGAUUUGGUUUAAUCUUAAUCUUUGUUUCUGUUUUCAGAUCUAUUUGUCUAGGACCUUUCGUAGGAGUUUCUCGUGACUUGGCAACUCGAUCUUGGUCCGCGCGCAAUGCUAUAUCAUUUGGUAUCAGAUUUUGGGCGUUUUGGGUGUUCUUGGUUGAUUUCUAAACUGAUCUCUAUUUUUUACAGCAUAAACAGCAGUUUUACCCAGAAAAAUUGUUCAAAAAAAUUCAUUUGAGUGGGUAAACGUUGUCUGAUUGAUCUGAAAUUUUACAUACAUGUUUUUGGAACUGUGAUUGAAUAUAAAAAAAUUAUUCCCGCAAAAAAAUCAGUCAAAAAAGUCAAAAAAAUCAAAAAAUACGAAAUUCAAUAAAAAUUUAAAAAAAGAUUCAGCGGAUUGAAUUUGGUGCCCAAAAUUUCCAGAUCAAAAAUUAAAUAUAUAAGGACAUUCCAGAUUUAAUUUCGUGAUUUUUGGAUAUCGGGAACACCUCGAACGAAGUUGUCAAGUUACUCCGCAGUUUUUCGGGUUUUCUGUUUUCAGCAAUUUUUAUUGGUUCUUAGCUGUAGGUUUUCAUUUGUUUACCUUUAUUCUUCCUUUACGUUAUCUAACACCUACUUGUUUCUUGUGUUAGUAGGAUUUAAACGUGUGCACAACUUCUUCCUCGGUGCAACACGAAUCAAUUGGUGUCUCGUCAGUUUUUGGCAUCCUAGUGCAAAUUAGGAUUCUUUGGUAGUUUGGUUCACACUCUCUAAUUGGUUGGUAUAAACUCUGAUAAAGAACUCACAAGAUUGAAUUCGACCUCAUUGAGAAUUUGAUUUUUUCUUUUUGAGUGAUUAACUGUGAGGUUUGAUAACUUUUAUUUUUGAGUGUUGAGUGUUUUGCAGGUUUUAAAAAAAAUGUCUACAGGUUAUAAUAAUAGUGACAUAUUUAAAAAAUUCCAACAACAGUUGGAUGAACAGGCUGCUGCUCUUCGAGCUUUGACUGCUACCAUCAAUGAGGUGCAAGUGAAUCAAAAACAUCAAUAUCGAGAUCCAAUUAAGGAAGAUAGGGAUAACCAGCCCCAUAGGUGCAGCCCUCAACGUGUCCCUAGAAUGGAUGAUGAUUUUCAUGAUCGUGGACAAUCAUCUUUCGCAAAACCAAAGAGCGAGCAGCAAUGAGAACAUCUCUUUCAUACUCGCUGCCAUGUACAAGGUAAGCUUUGUAGAGUUAUUAUUGAUGGUGAAAGUUGCUCGAACAUAGCCAGCACGACGAUGGUGGAAAAGCUUUGCUUAACCACUACCAAGCAUCCACAACCUUAUCAACUACAAGGGCUUAGCAACGAAGGCCAAUUUAGGGUCACUCAACAAGUGCGCAUUGCCUUUUCUAUCGGUAAGUAUCAAGACGAAGUUGUGUGCGACGUAAUGCCUAUUCAAGCCUGCCAUUUUUUGCUAGGAGAACCAUGGCAACUGGAUCGAAAAGUCACUCACGAUGGUCGUACCAAUAGGUAUUCUUUCAAGCAUCAAGGAAAGAAACUCACCUUAGUGCCGCUCACUCCGGAACAAGUCCAUGAGGACCAAAUCAAACUGAGAAAUUCUGUUAAAACAAGUGAGGAAAAAGAAAAAGAGAAUGAAAAAGAGCAAAAAGAGAUUGAGAGUGAAAAUGAAUGUGAAACAGAAAAGAAAAUUGAAAAAGAAGUUGAAGAAAGAAGAUAAAAUGAGUUAGAAAAAGAAACAAAAGAAAAAGACGAGGAAAGGCUAGUGAGGAAUGUUUUCACUAACCAAGAUAUGAAUUUUUCUUGUGUUGCUACUUUUCAGGUUCCCGAAGGACCGAAAGAUAACUUUCAACUUCAAUACCUCUCAAAUGAAAGACGCUUUCAUACGAUCAACUUAGGCAAAGAUGAAAUCACACUACAUGAUCCCGAAGGUAAGCGAGGUAAGGAAAUUUUAGAAACCGAGUCCAGUGCAGAUUUGAAAAUUAUUGAUAAAACUUUUGGUGACUUAGUUCUUAAAAGAUCCCCUCAUUUUGAUCCGAUUAAUUGUUACUCUUCGAUUGUGGUUGAUAAAGUCAUUACGAAAAGAAGCGUGAUUUGUUAUUCUCUUGAUUUACCUUGUGUAAAAUCCUCGAAUUUGUCCAAAUCUGUUUUGGAGAAUAAGGUAACGAAAUUUUCCAAAUUUGUUUUCAAUUUAUAUUCGUACCUUAAACAGUUUAUGUGGUUGUACAUGAAGUUUGAGUUCCAUUUGACAAAGGUUAACUCAACAACGGAGAUUCGACUACACUAUGCCCCCGAUGAGCGAAGGUUUGUUUUAAAUGAAAAAGGUAAAAUCGACCCUUAUUCUUCUGCUUAUCGAGGUAAGAUGCUUGAAACCUUUGAAACACUUUUGUACUCCUCAGAUAGUGAUAAAGAUCGUGUUGAUGAACACUUAGAUCGAAACGUGCUUGACUGUCCUAUUUUAUUUAUUGAUGAUCUAUCUGUUUUGAUGGUUGAUAAAAAGAUUCUUGUUUUUGAUAAUGCAUGCGUGAGUGAAUCUAUAGACCGUCGAUUAAUGCAUGGUAUGAUUAUGCAACUCUGUGAACCAUGUGAAUAUUUUCAAAUACCUACUUGUGACGAUUAUGUUUACCAUUUGAUUUAUUACUCACAAUUUAUUCAUGGUUUGUGGGAACAAUGUGAGACGACUGAAUGCCUUAAAACAUGUCCAUCUUUGUUUCAAAUAUUUGACGAGGCAGUGAUGAGUAAAUUAGAUUGUUUGCAUGGUAAUCUGAAUCUGUCCAUUCACAUGCGUUAUACCUGUUCUGUUAUGCUUAUGAUUGGACUACAAGCAUGUUUCCGUUGCUAUUUACUAUCUCAUGGCUAUUCUUUUCAGCGGACUCAAUUGCCAUUAGUCCCGUUCGAUAGAGGAAAGAGUCGAGUUCAUUUGAUUUUUCAGAUUCGAGGACGAAUCUUUUUGAGGAAGGGGGGAAUGAUACGAGUCACAAAAGCCCAAAUUCUUGAAGGCGAGGCCCAAUAAGCAAAUUCCCAGCCCAAUCAAGAAAUCCAUCCAUACUUAGUUGAAAAUCAGGCCAAAUUGUCAAAGUGGCCCAAGUUGUAAAGUUUUAUUUUUAUUUUUAUUUAUUUAUUUAUUUACUUAGUUUAAAUUUUUAUGUCAAUAUUCAGUCCAAGAGUCCCAGAUAAAAUGACCUUUGACCGAAUUUCCAUAUUAAAAUAAUUAGGAGUUUUUUUAUUUUAGUUUUCUAAUUAGAUUAGGACUAGUUAUAAGGCCUAUUUAAAGGCAUGGCUGUCCACCUUGUUAAACACUUAUCAUUAUUAUUAAAAUUUUAGAUUUGUUGAGAGCAGAAUUUUCUUUGAGUUUUCUCCAAGAUUUCUCUCUUGAGUUUUCUUUAGAAGUUGUUUUAACAAUCUUUUGAUUGUGGGAGCCAUCUUCAACCUUCUUCUUGCCAUUGAUAUUCUUUAGAGGGGAGAUUAGAGCCGUUUGAAGGGAUUUGUGAAAUCUUUCGGGAUUUCAAGGAUCUUUAGGACUUUCUUUAUUUCUUGCUGUUUCGUUUUAUUUCUUUAUUCCUACUUAUGCCGAUUCUUUAUCUCAUUUGUUUGCUGUUCUUCUUGUGUCUUUCCAGCCAUAUUCAACUCAAAGAAUCGAAUUAAAUCAUCAUUCAUUGGCAGCAAAGAGUCGUUCUCAAAAAACCCCCAAUUCCUAGGGUUUGGCCGAUUGGAUCUCUUUCAAUUUGGGAAUCAAUUGAUUGCUGGAAAUUGGGCAUUCUUGGCUGAAUCAAUUCCUUGGCAGAUUCGCAUCUUUUCUUUCUUCUCAAUUUCGUUUGAUUCAUCGAUUCUAUUUCUUUUCUUCUUACUGCUCUUUUAAUUGAAUUUGGGAAUUUUAAAUUCAAAUCUGAUUUGGUUUAAUCUUAAUCUUUGUUUCUGUUUUCAGAUCUAUUUGUCUAGGACCUUUCGUAGGAGUUUCUCGUGACUUGGCAACUCGAUCUUGGUCCGCGCGCAUUCUUGUAUCAGAAGAUGGUGAACUUAAAAGCAAGUAAAAACCAAUAUUAGGAAAUAUUGACCCAAGUACUUAUAUGCUUUCAAGGUGAAAAUGAAAAUGACAGAACCUCGACCCACUACUUAACAAAGUAGGAACCUCGGUAUAUGGGUGAACGCCACACUAUUUGAUAGUGAUAAGUUCGGGAUAGUGAAGAACAGGGUUGACACCACUAGGCUUCCUAGAUAAGCCAACGAAGUCCUCAACGAAAUAUGAGAGAAAGAAAUCUCACAAAUUCCAUGAAAGUUUAACAGAGUUUCAUUAAGUGAAAAGUCUAACAAAUGUCUAACCUUUUACAAAUGAAAUUUAACAAUUAUUUAUAGCCUAAAAACUAAGGGUAACCUAUUAGUCAUAUGGGCAUUCAAGGGGACGACAACUUAAAAGCUAAGCAAGAAGGAAACUCCCAUGAAGCUUCUUGAUCCUUUCCAGAAUAUUCUUGUCAUGAAAAUCUCAAUGGUUGGUCUCUAGAAGAGAUGAUUCGGCUGGCCUCUUUAAUGGAAAUGUCUAUGUUCAGCCAAGGCACUCUAGCAACUGAAAGGCCUUAGGUGUGAACGCUCCAAUAUGCUCCUUGGAGAACAUAAUCGAUCAGUCUUGAAAAGAGCAAGCAUCACUUGUAUUUAGUGCCGAAAAUAGCAGCAUAUUUAAUUUGGGCGGUAAGCCUUCUUUAUUGCCAUCAGCUUCAUUAAAACGUUCAUGCAUGAAAAGUCCAACCACUCCUUAAAUGCUUGCUUUUCACAAAGUCCUCAUUCAUUGUGCCACCCAUUGCUAGGGAAAAGAGUUCAGCAGCCCUUUAAAUGCUGUCCCACGCAUGCUGCUCCUUUAAUGCAUGUUUGUUUUUGACCGAAUGGCCAUUUGGGAACACCAACCAGCAGCCUUCAAGCAUUAAUCACGUUUUAGGGCCCUAUGCAGCUCUUUAAUGUUGUUCCAUGCACCAGCAACUCAAUUAAUGUGUCGUCCAUGCCUUGUUCACUAAUUAAUUCGGCUGUAGCAAGAAAACACAUUAAAUUUGGCACAUUCAACCUGCAGCAAAGUUGAGACAAUUUAAAUUCAUGGUUUUAAUCACAAAACAUAUUAAUAACAUGUCUAAACAAGGACAUAUUUAUGACCCACGUUUUAAUGCUAGGACAACCAUUAAAUUCGGUUUAGACAAAUAAAUAGCAGCAGCCAAUUAAUUUGUCUUAAACUUAACAUAUUAAAUUCAUGUCCUAAACUAAGACACAUUAAAAACUUUAUUUAAUUAUGUAUUGAUUUGACAAAUUAAAAAGAGCUAAUUAUUUUAAAGCUAACUAAAUAAACUAACUUAAUUAUUUCAGCAAAUUAAAAUGCAAGAAAAUAAUUUUGAAUCGAGCUUAAUGAGCUUCCGUCAAAACGAAAUUAAAUCGGUAACAAGCUGAAUUGAGCUAGGUGAAGCUUGAGGAGUUGGAAACGAGCUAGGAUCAGCUUGCCAACAGUCACGGCUUGACUAGGGAGACUUGUUCAAAGAGGUUCGCUGGGCACGCCCACAUCAUUCCCCCCUCUUUUAGGCGACUUGUCCUCAAGUCGAACCGUUUGUCUAAAGGACAAUGUUUUUUCUUGCUUGGCUUUCCUCGGUCGAAUAGGACAAAGGAUAUCAAGCAAACCUGAAAUUGAUUCACCAAUGGACAAGUUAACACAUCACCAUCAUAAAUAAGUAGCAGAGGGUUAAGACAAUAAAACCCAAUAGAUAACCCGAAUGUUGAGCAAAAGACGAAUCUUAUCUUACCGAAUUGACUUACCAAUUUUGGCAAUGACAAGUGGAAAGUAUUUAAAUUCGGAUGGUGCAUGUAAAAUUUAGCCCAAAGGUCAUAUGGCAAGAAUUUUAUUCAUUCAUAACCUGGAUACUUCACAUUUUCGCACAAUUUCGAUAUGUCAUCAAUAUGAUCAAUUGAACAAAAUGGAAACAAAGAAUGAUCAAUCACGCAUCUUAACAAAUAAGAAUGAAUUCCUCGUUCAAACCACAACAUUCCAAAUGGAUCAAAACAAACCUCAUUUUGCCGUAUUCGAUUAAAUGGAAUAAUAUGGCCACUAUCCAUAAAAUCAUUACUAACAACACCGAGUUCUUCUCUUUUUAAACAAAGUAAAGGCAUUUGUGACUUACUUUGUAAGUUACAUGAUACAAGUUCAAAUUUACCUUGUUCUCGCAGAUCAAACCUUCGCUCCUUAGCAAGGUAACGCAAUCGAUAAUUUGAACUCGAACAAACCUGUAAAGGUGAAAAGUCAAAAAGACAAUUCUUGCUUUUCAAAAUAUAAGUUCUACAUGAAUGGAAAAUGUUAAGGUCACCACGAGAAAUGUACUUAAAAGGACAGGAUAAAAUGUUAUUCACAGAUGGAAUGUCUGAUUCAAUUCCGGGAUUAAAAAAAAUUCAGAAUCAAAAACUUGGUUUUGAUUUUGUAAUCCAGCCACAUGCUUUAUUUCCAAAAAUAAAGAUAAGACUCGAAGAAGAUGAGAAGGUAAAACAAAGUUACUUACAAUAAGAUCACAAUGCUUACCUUUUCUUGGAAACAACUCGAAAUUGCUUACUCCCGGCUUAAAGACUCGGUUUUGAUCACUUAUCCCAAAUUGCAACAAAAAUUUCAUUUUCACAGAUAAGUCGCAAAAGUGAAUCAAAGAGACUUUAAAUUGACAAAUACACAAGCAUUCAUGCUUCAUAGAUCCUAGUCGAACAAACAGUCCAAAACAUGGAAAUUUCACAUAGAAAUUCAAAGAUUUCUCUUGGAGAGCAAAAUCAAAUAGAUCAAAUAUUUCAUGCAAAAAUCUUUUAAUGCUUAUAUCGAGCAAAGAAGUUGUGUUCAUGCGACCUUUCAGAAAUUAAAAUCCAUCACAAAUCAUUUGAAUAGGCAUGUUUAAACAGAAAGAUGAAUUCAAAGAAUUUACAUAGCCAUACUUAUCAAAAUGUGAAAACCUUUUAUCACAUACAUUCACAAUUUGCACAGGAUGAACCAAUCCAACAGAAUCAACAGAAUUGUCGUUAUAAAACAUGUCAUAAGACAGAAUCUUCAUGGCAUCUUUUGAAUCAACAUCGUUAACAUUAAUAUGUGAACAAUAAUUAGCCAAAUCAAAAGAUGGAAGUUUUUCAGAAGUUAUGCCAUCAAAACCUUUAUGAGUAAUUUUUAAAUCAGGCGGCCUUGAUUCGAUAAACAAAGAUUCCUUACCUUCCUUACCUUCAAUUUCCAAUGGGUGGCGAUCGUCCAUGGACUUACCUUUUUCAAACAACUGAAAAUGCCUCUCAUUUUAAAGGUAUCGAAGUUGGAUUUGGUUGCACGGACUUUUAGGAACCUAAAAAGAAAGAUCACAAAAAGAUCGAGCAGAAGUGUUAGUAGAAAGAAUCCUCGCUUGCUCACUAACAUCGUUUUCACUCGAUUCUAUUUCUUUUGAAUCACUCGUUUCUUUUAUCUCAAUUUCCUUUUCCACUCUUUUUUCUUGUUCACGUUCUUUUUCUCUCUCAAACUCUUUUUCAUUCUGAUACGAACCCGCUAUUCCAUAAGUCGAGUCCGAGCCGAGAUCCGAUGGUGCUACCUCAAGGGCCGAUCACAAGGGCUCGUGCAAAACAAUUUAAAGAAGCUAUUAUAGCUUUAGUUCAGCCAGUGUGGGAUGAUGUUAAUGCUAGACCUAUCGAACUAGCUGGUGGCAAUUUUGGGAAUCCAUGCCGAACUUUUCUACAAGUUCAAUUCAGCUCACCGAGCUCACCUUCAGCUCAAGUUAGCUCCCAUGUAGCUCCACACCAGCUCAUUAGCUCAGAUCCAGCUCAUUAUUAGCUCACGAGUUUAAGCCCCGCUCGGGUUUAGCUCAUGAAUUAAACAUCAGCUCGUGGAGUUCACUUUGAAUUCAUUUGACUACUAUUGACUUUUUAUUUAAUAAGUUAUAUAAAUAGUUAAUUAAUAUCCUACUUAUUAAAUUUAGUUCACAUUAGUUAUAUUAAGUAUGUCUUAAAAGUGUUUAUUGAUGAUAAAUAAAUUUGUCAUAACCGAAUUUAAUAUUGAUAUUUGUGUUCGCAUUAGUUUAAAUUAAUCCUGUUCACAUUUCUUGUAGGAACGCAAUGGACAUAUGGAGAUUAAAAGCAAGCAUGAAUUUUGAAAGGUGCAUGGACGGUUGGGGGACUUGAAUCUCUUAGGCGCAUGUUCGGCUAAGUGCAUGUAUGACCAUAUUCAAUGUCUUCAAGGUUCAUGAAUGUUUCCAUUCAUGUAUGGUGUGCUAUCUCUUCAUUCUUCAAGGUGACCAUUCGGCCAUAGGACACUCACACAUGCAUGAAGAUAGCUUGGCCAAUUAACUUCCCCAUGACUCUCCUUAAUUCGUUUCACACCUAUGUUCACAUGGCAAGACUCGGUUCACCUUGUUCACUUUGGAAGACUCUUUGAUACGAAUCCCGACGUAUCAUGGUUUGACACAAUUCGACAAUAUCAAGCAUGGCCUAAGUUCGAGGGGCCCAAGUUCAAAAUGAAGCCUGAUCUUAAAUUUCAACGAGCUCAAUUCAGCCCAAUUUUAGCUCAAUGAGCUCGUUUGCUCAUUUUUCUAGUUUAUUUUAAUUUAAGCAUUUUAUUAGUUGCUGGAAUAAAUUAAUUGUGAUACAGCAUGCCCCACGAACUUCAUCGAACAAGCCUAUCAAGCCGAGCAUUGACAUGUUGGCAAGCUGAUCCAAGCUCGUUUCUAGCUCCACAAGCUCCGUCCACCUCAAAUCCAGCUUAUUCGAGCUCAAUCCAACUUGCCUGAGCUAAACCGAGCUUACUCCUAGCCCAUAUUGAUAUGAUCUCGGUUUAGUAGUUGAGUCCGAGUCGUUUGAUUCCCAAUCUUAAACGAAGAAGUAGAUUAGAUGAGAAGGAGUUAGAAUAUAUUUGUGUACAAAGAAGUAAGAUAAGUUCGUGCAAAGUUGGAUAUGGAUUUGGUUUAAGUCGAAAUGGUAUGAAUAGAAUGGAAGAGUUCGGUUUAGGUUAAUUAAGAAAUGGUAUUUGGUUUUGGUACGUUUUGGUAUUUGGGAAUUGGUACGAAAUGGUAUGGAAUUGGUAUGAAAUGGUAUGGUAUUUGGUACGAAUUGGUAAUGGUUCAAAGAGGUCAAGAAUGAACCAACACUAAAGAAAAGUGUCGACCCGAAACUUAUAGGACCUAAAUGAAUUGGAAAUGGUUAAAAAGGACCUUGACCCGAUACUUAGGAAAGUAUGAACCAAAGGUAUCAAAGGUGAACGCCACACUCGGGUUUAAGGAGUGAUAAGUUUGGAAAAGACUCGAAAAGACACCACUAAAAGCUUAGAUAAGUCUUACAGGCCUCGAACAAAAUUUGAGAGAAAAUGCCUCACAAAUUUGGCAGCAAUUCGCUAAUUAAAAUGUCAAAAAGUUCCUUACAAAGUAAAAAAAUUCAGCUAUUUAUAAUAAUCUCCUAAGUUAGCCGAAUGGUCUCUUUCAAUCCUUAAGGAGUAAGCAAAUGAACCACUUGAAUGUGCUAGCUAGAUUCGGCUGAACUUGACAAGCUUCUAGAACUCCCAUUGAACCUUGGUCACUUUGAAUGGUGCAUGAAGAAGUUAAAUUCAGCCAAUGUACAUAAAUGAACUCAUUUAAGUUGUAUCUUUUGCUGAAAAGUGACCAGCCAUUAAGAGGGAUUUGAAUGGCCAAAUGAAGUGUGAACACUCGGUUUCAAAGAGUCUUUGUGUGUGAACAUUCCAAACCGAAAAGCCAAGAGUGUGAACUUCAUGUGUGAACGGCAUUAUGCUGGUUCUUGAAUCAUUUAAAAUCAGCUGAACAUUCCUCAUGCAUGUAACGCCACAUUCAUUGAACCUAUGUUGCAUGCACCUAGCUUAAAUGCUUCCACCCACAUUCGGCCAACCUACACAACAUGAACAAAUGAAUUUAUUUGAUCAUUAUUCAGCUGAAUCAUAUUAAAAACGAAAUUUAGACAACAUUAAUCCAAAUAAUUAAAACAAAACUCAAUUAAUUAAACUAAGUCUAAUUAAUUCAGUUUGGACAAGACACAUUAAAACAUGUAUUAAGACUUAUUUAUAAGCUGUAGGAAUUUAAUUUAACUUAAUAACAUGUAAGAAAAACACAAUUAAUCAUGCAUAAUUAAAUCCAACCAGAUUUUAAACCAAAUAAAUAAUGAAUAUUAAUUGAGCUGUAAUAAACUAAUUAAAUGACUCAAAUAAUUAUUUCAGCUACUAUAAUAAGGUCUUAAUGAAACUGAGCUAGUUCGAGCUCAUUGAGCUUGAAAGGAGCUGGAAACGAGCUAAAUGAAGCUCCACAAAAUAAGAUUGAGCUACGUCCAGCUUGCAAACACGACUAGCCUCGCUUGUAGGCUGAUGCAAUGGCCGUUCCCAAGGGCGGGUCGUAUCACAUAUUCAGCUCACGAGCUAAACCUUAGCUCAGCUUCAGCUUAGGAGUUUAAUCUCAACUCAACUUUAGCUCACGAGCUAAAGCUUAGCUCAUUUUAGUUUAACUCGAUUUUGUCUUUAAUGCAUUAAAUAAAAUUUGCACAUAUUUAUUUAAGCAUUAAACUUGUCUUAUAUUAAUAUUUGUUAUUAAUAUGUCACAGAUAUCACAUAACUUAAAUGUGUUCACAUUGUGCUGAAUUUAUGUGUGUUCACAUGAUGUCUUAUGAAUUGUUUUAUUUCUUGUAGGUACAAUGCUCAUGGACGGUGCAAUGAAUGCUUGAAGAAACAUCUCUUUUGGACAUCCCAAAUGCAUGAAUGAACAACAUUUAAUUAGGUGCAUGUAUGACCAGAUUCAAGGUGUUUACAAGUUCAUGUAUUUUCCAAAUACAUGAAUGCACAAAAUACAUGAAUGCUUGGGUUCAAAUGCACAUUCGGUUACAUGAAUGAUGAAGAUUCAUGCAUGAAUGUAUCUAGAAGAUCCAAUCCCUUUGGACGGCACACAUGCAUGCAUGGAAGGAAAUUAAUGCAAGUUCAUGUAGGGCUUGGUGCAAUGUAUGAAGAGGUGCAUGUAGAAUUGAGGUUCAAUGGACGGCAUUUAAGGGAGUACAUGUAUUGGAGACGUUCAUGCAAGUAGGGGCUAUUUAAUGUUCAUGUUUUUGAAGGUUCAUGGACUGAAUUUAUGGAGGAACAUACAUUGGGACGUUUCAUGCAUGAUCCAUGCAUUUUCAAGCUAACCAUUCAAGUAUUCAAGGUGCAUUAAAGCUUCAUUCAGCCAAGGGGGAUGAUGGAACAUUAAAGGGCUGCACAUUCAUGGAUAUUCAUGAUUUUUCUUCUAGAAUUAUCUAGGUGUUUAUGGCCGAAUUUCUUAGCUUCUAAGCUUGUCCAUUCACCUACUUUUAUUUAGGCUAUAAAUAUACGUUAUUUCAUUUGUAAGAGGUUAGACUUUUCACUUAAUGAAACUUUGUUAAUAUGGAAUUUGUGAGAUUUCUUUCUCUCAUAUUUCGUUGAGGACUUCGUUCGCUUAUCUAGGAAGCCUAGUGGCGUCAACCCUGUUCUUUACUAUCCUGAACUUAUUACUAUCAAAUAGUGUGGCGUUCACCCAUAUACCGAGGUUCCUACUUUGUUAAGUAGUGGGUUGAGGUUCUAUCAUUUUCAUUUUCGCCUUGAAAGCCUAUAAGCAUUUGGGUCAAUAUUUUCUAAUAUUGGUUCGUGCUUGCUUUUGAGUUCCUUCUUUCCAUUCUUUCAUUUACUUUAAAUUGAACCUUAAUAUUCAUAUUUUAAACCCUUCAUUUGAACCCCUUGAAUAGCUUUCGCAUAAUUUAUUUAGAAACAUCUUUUUUGAAUAAACUGAACGAUACUUUCUCGUAGACGGUCAGGCAAACUCGCAUACGACUCGACUCUCCUUGAGGUGGUUCGUAUCAAAUUGAGUCUAGUUAAACUUAAUUAAAUCAGCUCAAUAAUUUGGUUGUGUUAUUUUUAAUAAAUUAAAAUCUGGACAUUUUUAAUUAUGUUUAAAUGUGUUAGUUAAAUUAGUUAAUUUGCUUAGCUCAUAAAUAUGUUUAGCUUAAUAAUUGGGUUUUAAUAUGUUCCAGCCGAAAUUAAUAUGUCUGAAUUGGAACAUGUUUUAAUUUGUUCUAGUACAGCCAUUUAACUUGUCUUAGUUUAGGACACAUUUAUUUCUUGCCCAGCCAAAUGUGGUUUAAAUUUGCUGUCAAUUUAAUAUGUUCAAAGCUGAUUAAUUUUGGUUUAAAUGUGCAGCUAUUUUCAACAUUAAAGGAGCAAGCAUGCCGAAUUCAAUGUACUUAUUGCUACAGCCGAAUUAAUUAGUGAACAAGGCAUGGACAGCACAUUAAAGAGCUGCUGGUGCAUAGGGGCAUGAAACGUGAUUAAUGCAUUAAAAAGCUGCUGGUGCAUGAAUAGCCUAGGAGCAUGAAACGUGAUUAAUGCUUGAAGGCUGCUGGUUGGUGUUCCCAAAUGGCCAUUCAGUCAAAAGAUGGCUGAAUAUUCAAUGUUCCAAGCUGAAUUAAAAGGCCAGCUGCUGUUUAAGUUUCUCUAGGUGCUUUUUCAUGAAUAACAAGGGCCAUGGCUGAUUAUAAUUAAUCCCAUUCAGCUGCUCACAUUCAGCUUCUAUAUCUAUUGUCCAUUGGCGUCCUCAAGGAGCAUUUAAGCUACCCAAGCCUAUCCAGCUGGUCAAAGCAAUAUAUUUAAUAUCAUCCACUCUCUUUGGCCGAAUAUUACAAGAUUUUCAGCUCAUUUAAUUCUCCAGCUGAUGAGGAAACUUCUAAGAAAAUUCUCAACUCUUCUAGUUGAAUUACAAAGUGACCAUUCAGCUUUCUAGGUGGCUGAUUAGCUCACCUUUAUUUUAAAUGAAACCAGCUGCAUGAAGACACCUUGGAAGCUGUCCAAAUACGUUCUUAAGGCUGGAGGAAGCAUCCUAGAAUUUCCUAAAUUUUUCUAGAAAUUUCAGCUCAUUUAAAGGUUUAAGUAAGUGACCAUUCAGCUACUUUUUGAGGCCAUUCAGUUGACCAUGUUUUAGGCUAUAAAUAAUUGUUUCAUUUGUAAAAGGUUAGACAUUUUUUUUAGACUUUUCACUUAAUGAACAUUUGUUCUUGUGAGGUUGCUUCCUCUCAUAUCUCGUACAAGUUUCGAAAGACUUAUCUGGCUUGUGCUAGUGGCGUCAAUCGUCUUGUUUGAACUUAUCACCAAUCUUGGUGUUGCGUUCACCUAUCCAUCUAUCCAUACUUUCACCUUAACAAUAUAGGAACCGGGGUGACACUUCUUAGUGUUGAAUCAUUCCUGAUGUUGAGUUCGUUUUUCAUUCCCAUCCUUCGAAUUAUUUUCUUGUUAUACCAAACCGACCCAUUUAUCCAUCACCCAUCUUUGCUACACAUAACCGAACCUAUUACUAAACUUACCCUUCUUGAAACCUUUCGCUUAUUCUAAAUCCAUUAUUUUACUUUUAUUACUAAAAUCCGAGACACGAACGACUCUCUCGAACUACAAUCGGGCAACUACGUGAAUUCGACUCAUCUACCCAGGCCGAAUCACAUCAUUUGGUAUCAGAGCUACCUAAAACAAGAAGCUUAGACGUUCGAAGCGGAGCAUUCUCGAGGUAGGUUCAGAAAAAAAAAUGUAUACCGAAGUUUUCUCAUUUCGAUUAGUUUGUUAUUGUUGCUAUAAAAAUAAAAAUCUACAUAGCCGAAAAAAAAUCGUGUACAAAAGUGUUUUUUAUUGUAUUUAGUUUGCUGAUACAGUACAAAAAAAAGUUAUACAAGUUUGAAAAAAAACCGAAAAAAAAAUUUCGAAAAAAAAAUUUGAAAAAAAAAAUUCAAUAAAAAAUUGAAAAAAAAUGAUUUAUGCAAUUCAAUUGUUAUUUGAUCGUCAAGCUUUGAUCUGAUAUAGUUUCCCGAUCCAUCUUCUGUUCUAAACCCCCUAAUCAUAUGCACGCCACACUUUCUUACCCAAUUCCCUAUUCUUUUAGCCAACCUUAAACCUAUACGCAUUUCCCUUGUUACCCUAUUGAAACCGACCCCUAAGCCUACGAUAAAGCCUUGGCAAGUCCGACUACGAAGUUGCGAGAGAAAAGAUUGAGAGGUAAAAGGCACGAGCAAGUGAGAUCAUUCGAGUGGAGGUAAAAGCCAAACGAGUGUAAACACAAGUGGGAGUGACACCUUUUUUCUUCUUCUUUCCGAGCGAAAUUGUGAGGUUUGUGGUGAGGUACUUAAUUUUUUUUAUUUUGUUUUGUGAUCUAACGUUUUCUUUUUAGCAACAAAAAUAAUGUCACGUGAAGAGUUCACCGAAUUGGAAACCAAUACUUGGUUCAAGAAAUGCGAAGAAUGGUGACUAAACGAGACUAAAGUGAUCGAGUUUCUUCAAGUCGUAAAACAGAACCAAGAAUCCCAUGGAGAUAUACCCCGACUACUACCUAAAAAAAAGUUCCAAUCGUGACUCCUUUUCGCCAUCUACGUCGAGACAAAGAGAUUCAUACUAUGACUCAUAUUCAUCAGUGAAUUCGAGAAGUGACUUCGAUCGAAAGUCCUUUUCAUCAAGAAAUUCGAGAAGACGAGAAGCCAAUUACGAUUUUGAUUCGUUCCAAGAUGGUGUUCGGAGAGAAAGACAUACUCCUAGUAUAUCUUCAAAGAAAUCAUUCAAGGAGUAUUCUUCACGAAGUUUUGAUUGUGAAUUAUACGCAAAUAGUUCUUCAUCUUUCGAACAAGAUUUGUAUUCUCAUCGUUCUUUUGUACAUUCUUGUAAAGAGAAAACAAAGAAAAGAAAAGAAAAGGCAAAAGAAGAAAAAGAAAACGAAAUAAAAAGAAAAGAGAGGCAAGAGGCAAGUAAGAGAGAAAAUGAGCGAAUCUUGAGAGAACUUGAAAAAGCCUUUGAAAAGCAAAAAGAAAAAGAACUUGAACGAGAAAAUAAAAUUGAAAAAGAGAUUGAGAGUGAGUCUUUGAAAGAAACAAUUGAAAAAGAAAAAGAGCUUGAACAUGAGAUUGCAAAAGAAUUGAGAGGAGAAGACAAGAGAGAACAAGAAAAAGCAAGGAGUGUUUUAACUAAUCGUUCUAUGAGUUCUCCUUGUAUUGUUUCUUUUCAGGUUCUUGAAGAUUCCAAUGACAAGCUACAACUUCAAUAUAUUUCCGAAGAGAGACGAUUUCGAAUGAUCGAGAAAGGUAAUAUCGAAAAUGAAAUUCUCCCUCAAGAGCUUAAAGGCAAGCAAGGUAAGGAGUCUUUAACAAUUACAUCACGGCAAACUGAUUUGAACAUUGUUGAAAAAGGUAUCGAUGACUUAAUCUUCGAAAGAUCGCUGCUCACUUUGUUGAUUAAUUGCCAUUCUCUGAUUAUUGAUGAUUUUGUUUUUAAAAGUGGUAUGAAAAGUUUUUCUUGUAAUGAGUACAGUGUUGGUAAGCUUGUUGAUGAAGUACGACUAAGUAGGUACGAACAAAAUUUGAUCUUAUGUGAUAAAGAAUUGUCACGUAAAAUGCCUAAUUCGUUUGUUUAUGAUGGUAAUGUGAAUUCUCUAUAUCGUUGUGCAUGUUUGUGUAAGUCUAAUCAAAUGGGAAUUACGAUGUAUGAGUGUUUGAAAAUAUGCAUGCUCAAAUUUUCUUUGUCUCACUUGUGUGAGUUGUUGAUGAAAGAAAGGCCAUUGUCUCUUGUAACAAUGAAUGACCAAAGUCGUGUGUUUAAGCCCGGAGCAAGUCAUCUUAAGUUGUUGCCAAGCAAAGGUGAGCAAGUCAUCUUAAGUCAUCUUAAUGUGUGAACAACUUUUGCUUACUUGAUGAUGUGUUUCUAAAUCUGAAAACAAAUUCGUUGUACCGUGAUAAUAUGCGAAUGCAAAAUCAAACCUUUGAUUCUAGAAAUUGCACUAUAGUAGGAUUUGAAGGAUUCAAGCAUGUCUUGCAUGAGUUUAACUUUCCAUUGUUUCAUAUUUCCCCUGUGUUGUUCUCAAUGAAACCUUCAAGUCGAAAUGAAACAAUAAGAGAAAACUUUGCUUCCGACACCGGAGAUUAUUGUCUUACAUCGUUUGGUAUUGAGUUGUCCAAAGGACUUGAAUCAAGUACUUUUGUUGUCCAAAACCAUAAUUUUCGAGUGCUUAAUGGUUCUGUUCUGACGAUUAUGCUUGACCAUUUUAUCCAUUGUGAAACAGUGAGGUCGUUUUCCAUCUUUGACCUUGUGAUGUGAUCCGGCUCGGGUAGAUGAGUCGUAUUCACGUAGUUGCCCAAUCGUAGUUUGAGAGAGUCAUUCGUGCCUCGGAUUUUAGUAAUAAAAGUAAAAUAAUGGAUUAGAAUAAGCGGAAGAUUUCAAGAAGGGUAAGUUUAGUAAUAGGUUCGGUUAUGUGUACCAAAUAUGGGUGAUGGAUAAAUGAGUCGGUUUGGUUACGAGAAGGAAAAGUUGAAAGAUAGGAAAUGGAAAAACGAACUCAACGCCAGGAAUGAUUCAACACUGAGAAGUGUCACCCCGGUUCCUAUAUUGUUAAGGUGAAAGUAUGGAUAGAUGGAUAGGUGAACGCCACACCAAGAUUGGUGAUAAGUUCAAACAAGACGAUUGACGCCACUAGCACAAGCCAGAUAAGUCUUUCGAAACUUGUACGAGAUAUGAGAGGAAGCAACCUCACAAGAACAAACGUUCAUUAACAAUUUUGGCAAAAAUUCCUUUACAAAUGAAAGAAAACAAAUAUUUAUAGGCACAUAGAUGACCAUUCAAAUUCGGCAUCUAGGUGUUCACACAAUAAUAAAAACGUUCACACUAAUGUAUUAAAAUAGUUCAUAAAUUCGGCAGAUUCAUGCACUAGCUGAAUGGACACUUUCUUCCCCCUUGGUUUGUGCAUGAAUGCUUAGUCAUAAAGAAAGGCUUCAAGUGACUUGUAUGUGCACCAAAAGGUUGCAUUCAUCUCCUUGGGACGUUCAUGCACUUGUAUGGAACAUGUAUCUUCAUAGUUAAACACUUUAAUGGCAUGUAAGUUCAUAAAUGGCAGCAUGAACCUAGUAAAUUCGUUCUCCCCUUUGUGCAUACACUUAAUUCAAUCAAUGUGUUGAAUUAUUGAGUUAAUUCCUUCCUUUGGACGUUCUUGAACCCAUCCAUGCAUGUGUAGUAGCUUAUAGGUCAAUUCAAAGUGUGAACAGCUACUUCUUGGCCGAAUAAGUGCCUUGGAAAGUUAGGAGAUAGCCACCAACAUGCACUUAAGCCAUUCAUGCAUUCUAUCAUUCCAUGUAUUUGAUCCAUUCAUGGACCAGCCUUUAAUGUCCAUACAUGCAUUCGACACAUGCAUGAAUUUGUAGAAACCUUGCAUCUAGCCGUAAAUGCACCAGCAUUUAAUACUUCUUCAUUCAUGAGUGUGGAAUGCCUAAAAGAGAUGUUUCUUCAUCCAUACAUUGUACCGUCCAAAGGGAUGUACCUACAUGAAAUAAACAAGUCAUUAAGAUAUCUCAUGGACACUCAUAAAUUCGGCAUGAUGUGAACACAUUAAUGUCAUGCAUUAAUUCAACUAUGUGAACAUAAUCAAUUUAUGUAAUGACUAUGGCAUAUUAAUAACAAAUAUUAAUAUAAGACAAGUUUAAUGCUUAAACAAAUAUGUGCAAAUUUUUAUUUAAUGCAUUAAAGACAAAAUCGAGCUUAAACUAAAAUGAGCUAAGCUUUAGCUCGUGAGCUAAAGUUGAGCUGAGGCUAAACUCCUAAGCUGAAGUUGAGCUAAGGUUUAGCUCGUAAGUUGAAAGUGAGCUAGGAGUGAGCUCGGUUUAGCUCAGGCAAGAUGGAUUGAGCUCGAAUAAGCUGGAUUUGAGCUGGACAGAGCUCGUGGAGCUGGAAAUGAGGUUGGAUCAGCUUGCCAACAUGUCAUUGCUCAGCUUGACAGACUUGCUCGAUAAAGUUCGCGGGGCGUGCUCGUAUCAUUCCCCCCUCUUUUAGGCGACUUGUCCUCAAGUCGAGCUAUUUAUCCAUGGGAGAACUUUGACUCGUGCAUGGUUUUCCUUGAUCAAAUGGGAUGGAUGAUGUGAUCUGGCCCAGGUUAAUCGAGUCAUUUUACAAAGUUGCCCGAUCGUCUACGAGGAGUAGUUGGAGUUGUCAAAAUUGGGUGAUUUAGGCUAAGGGUUGCGGAAGCUUUGAGAGGGUUUAGAUGAGUGGUUUGGUGUUGAUAAAUUCGGUUUAGAAUAGAAACAAGGUAGGUUAGAAAAAGGUAAUUGAUGGAGAUGGAAAAUAAAACUUAAACGUCAAGAAUGUUCAAUACUAAAAAGUAUUGCCCGAGUCUUAUAUUGCUCAAGGUGGAUUAAAUGGAUUGUCGAAGAUGGACCUUGACCCGUUACCUAUAGAGAGGUAGGAACCAAAGGUAUGAAAAGGUGGAUGAACGCCACAGCAGGAUGGUGAUAAGUUCAAGAAGUCGGGUUGACGCCACUAGCGAGCUAGAUAAGUCAGAACGAGACUCGUACGAAAUAGGAUAGGAGGAAACCUCACAAUCAAGUUUUCAAUAAUCAAAUUCUGUAACCUUUUUACAAAGAAAAAAGAACUAUUUAUAGAUUACAUUAGAUAGCCAAAUAGACUAAGUAAAUUCGGCUUUAAUUGAAUUAAACUAAUCUAGAAAUGUAUCUUUAAAGGCUAUGUCCAAAUUCAGCUGAAUGGUACUUCAAUGGGCAGCUUCAUGGCUAAGGAAAUGAACUUGAAGGCUUGGUGAAUGUAUGGGAGAGCAAUGGACAUGUCUAGGUUCGGCCAAGGUGUGAAUGGACACUCCAAGAGAUGCCUUUUGGCCGAAUAGGUACUUAGGAGAUCAAUGGACAGCAACCGAUGCAUGUAAGUGAACAUUCAUGCAUUCUUCCAUUCAUUGUAUUAAAUCAUUCAUGCAUCAUCCUUACGUUCAUUGAACCAGCCCAUUCAUGAAUCAUCUUUAAUUGUGUUCCCACAUCAUGCAUUGUAAGUAGACGUUCAUGCACCUAGCUUGAAUGAAUCUCCACAUUCGGCUGUACCUACAUGAAACAUGAACAAAUUAAUUAAAAUAGAUAUAUUAAUUAACACAUAAAUUUAAAAUAGACAAAAAUAAAGUCUUAAGCUAAACAUAUUAAAUUCGGCUAAGACAAUUUUAAAAACAUGAAAUAAAUCAAAACAUAAUUAUGAGCUGUAAUAACUUAAACUAAGUUAAUAAAAUACUUUAAUUAUUCAACCAAUAAAAUAAAUGAGCUGAAUUGUAGCUAAAUUGAGCUCGAUUGAGCUGAAAUGAGCUCAAUUGAGCUGGUCGGAGUUGAAACGAGCUAGAAAAGCUAAAAUGGAGCUGAAAUUAGCUUGCACUAAGGUGCAUGGUUUCUUCAAGGAGUUGGAUCGAGCUUCCUCAUCUUCAACAAGCUGAUUCUCCUUCCAAAACUUGAACAACAAAGCUGAAACAACUUCAUGAAAUCGCUUGGACCUAGCUCGGGUCAUUGGUCCCUUUGGAAGCUCGAGGGAAUCAAGACGAGGACUUGAUGGGGCUUGGGGCGUGGUCACAUCAAUGGAAGAUGUCACACAAACCUGAAAAAUUCUUACCACAGCCGGUAAAAAGAAACUCAAAGGAGUCAAAUUCAAAUGUGUUCGAUAGUUCAUAAAAUAUUCAUUCAAUCGAACAUAUGCCAAAAAUCUCAAUUGGACAAAGCAAGCAUACAUAAAUUUAUCAAAGAGUUUCAUUAGACCAUCGUUACAAACAUGAAAACUAAGUUGGAUCAAGGGAUAAUUGGUUAAAAAUGAUGGUAGGCACUUAAACACAUUAUUCCUCAUCCAAAACAUUUUAAUUUCUUUAAUCGAAUAUAGUAACUCAUUUGGUCCCUUGUCUUGCUCAUGCAAGGUAUGCCAUGGCCAAAGGUAUGCUAACUCUUCCUUUCGUUUUUGAACAACAUGAGGGGAGUCUCCAAAUUUCAACGUAAUAAUCACAUCAUCACAAUGCCAAAAGGAAAAAUCCAUCACAUCAAAGUAUAAAUAAUUUCCAAACAACCAAUCAAUGGAAUUUUCAACUUCAAUCGAAUUGAGCAAAGAUAUUUUAAAAUUUUCAGAUGACUUACCUUGACGAAUAUGAAGAGAAGACAAUUGAGGAUUGGGUUUACCUUUCUCGGUCAAAAUGAAUCUUCUCUCUUUGGAUAGAUAAUGUAAGACAAACCUAUUAUGCCGAUAAAUUUGAAUAGGUGGUGACGCACCAUGACAUGUCUUGCUCCUCGAGGGGUGGAAUUCACAAAAAUAAGACUGGUUAGUAUUAUCGAAAACUAUGGACUUAAAUGGAAAAGGAAAGUUACCAUGGAAAUUUGAUUCAAUUCCAAAAACAUAGGUUGGACUUACCUUUUCGAAAUGAAACGAAAAUUUCAGAUGUGGCCAAACAAGGUGAUUAAUAAAUGAAUCAAAAUUGAAACCCAAAUCAUUGAAUUUCACCUUCUUAUCAAAAGUUUGAACAUCAAGCAAACAUAUUUUGAUUGCAAAUGAUGCAAAGUGCUUAAUGUUUCCAUAAAAUGAAUUCAUGUAGCAAAUACCAGGCUUGAACACACGAACUUGUUUAGGAAUUCCAACAAGCAACAUAUUAGAAAAAGAUAUAAUCAACUCACCACACGAAUUAUAUUUCACUAGUUUAAACACACAUGUUGAUUUGACAAAACCGAGCAUACCAAAAUGCAAAGGUUCAUACUUCAAGAGUAUUAAUCGGGAAUGCAAAUCACUACAUGGAAAUUUAGCACAAAAACUCAAAGAUUGUUCAUGAAGAACACAAUUGCACAUAUCAUGUGAAGAUCUUUUAACAUGGAUGCCAAACAAAGAAUUUUUAACGAACAUGCAACUUUUCAAACAGGCAAAUUUAUCACAAAUCAAUUGAGCAGGCAUAUUUAAACAUAAAGAUUUAACACAUGAGUUCAAAAAGUUUGCAGGGUCAAACACAUCAGAAUUUUUACGUGACAGACUUUGAUCAAACAUGUUCAAAAUUUGCUUAGAGAAAACUAAUCCAAUGUUGUCAACAAAUUUGCCAAUGUAGGAAUUGUCAUAAGAAAAGCUGUAUAUGGCACCUUUUAAAACAAAUUCGUUAACAACAGUAAAUGAACAAGAAUUAUCCAAAUCAAGUCACUUUGAUUCGAUAAACAAAGAAUCCUUACCUUCCUUACCUUCGAUCGCAAGUGGGUGGUAGUCAUUCGCGAACUUACCUUUUUCGAACAACCUAAAACACCUCUCGUUUGGAAGGUAAUGUAGAUGGAAUUGGUCGCACAAACUUCUAGGAACCUGAAAAGUUAACUCACAAGAAGAUCGAACAGGUGGGUUAGUAGAAAUAAUCCUCACUUGCUCACUUGUUUUCUCACUCGAUUCUUUUGUUUCAAUUUCUUUUUCAUCUUCUUUUUCACUCUCAAAUUUAUUUUUGUUCUCUUUUUCAAUCUCAUUUUCUUUUUCAUUUUCUUUUUGCUUUUCAAAGACUUUUUCAAGUUCUCUCAAGAUUCGCUCAUUUUCUCUCCUACUUUGCCUCUUGCCUCUCUUUUCUUUUUAUUUCAUUUUCUUUUUCUUCUUUUGCUUUUUCUUUUGUUUUCUUUGUUUUCUCUUUACAAGAAUGUACAAAAGAACGAUGAGAAUACAAAUCUUGUUCGAAAGAUGAAGAACUAUUUACGUAUGAUUCACAAUCAAAACUUCGUGAAGAAUACUCCUUGAAUGAUUUCUUUGAAGAUAUACUAGGAGUAUGUCUUUCUCUCCGAACGACAUCUUGGAAUGAAUCAAAAUCGUAAUCGGCUUCUCGUCUUCUCGAAUUUCUUGAUGAAAAGGACUUUCGAUCGAAGUCACUUCUCGAAUUCGCUGAUGAAUAUGAGUCAUAGUAUGAAUCUCUUUGUCUCAAAGUAGAUGACGAAAGGGAAUCACGAUUGGAACUUUUUUCAGGUAGUAGUCGGGGGUAUAUCUCCGUGGGGUUCUUGGUUCCGUUUUACGACUUGAAGAAACUCGAUCACUUUGGUCUUGUUUAGUCGCCAUUCUUUGCAUUUCUUGAACCAAGUAUUGGUAUUCCGAUUCGGUGAACUCUUCACGUGACAAGAUUUUUGUUGCUAAAAAGAAAAUGUUAGAUUACAAAACAAAAUAAAAAAAAUUUAAGUACCUCACCACAAACCUCACAAUUUCGCUCAGAAAGAAGAAGAAAAAAGGUGUCACUCCCGCUCGUGUUUACACUCGUUUGGCUUUUACCUCCACUCGAAUGAUCUCACUCGCUCUAGCCUUUUACCACUCAAGCUUACUCUCGUAACCUCGUAUUUUGUUUCUUUCAACUUGUCUUGGUGCCUUGGGGUCGGUUUCAAGAUGGUUACAAAGGUUAGAAUGUCACGGUGUAGUGUGGCGUUUUGGGGGGGGUAAAAGUUGCUGGAAAGAAAGAUUGAAGGUCGGAACAAAAAUGUAAACAAAAGAAUAGAUCUUGAUCACACACUUUUUUUUUAUAAUUUCAUUUUUUUGUCUUUUUUUAAAACUUCACAAUAUCACUAUUACAAAAGAGAGAACGAAAAUUACAACUUGAUUUUUUUUUAAUUUCAAAUUUUUUUUAACUACGAACCUAUUUCGAUCUUGUUACAAAUGUCGGCGCCUCUCGAUUUACAAGCUCUGAUACCAAAUGAUGUGAUUCGACUCGGGUAGAUGAGUCGUAUUCACAUAGUUACCCGAUCGUAGUUCGAGAGAGUCGUUCGUGCCUCGGAUUUUAGUAAUAAAAGUAAAAUAAUGGAUUAGAAUAAGCGAAAGGUUUCAAGAAGGGUAAGUUUAGUAAUAGGUUCGAUUAUGUGUACCAAAGAUGGGUGAUGGAUAAAUGAGUCGGUUUGGUUACGAGAAGGAAAAGUUGAAAGAUGGGGAAUGGAAAAACGAACUCAACGUCAGGAAUGAUUCAACACUGAGAAGUGUCACCCCGGUUCCUAUAUUGUUAAGGUGAAAGUAUGGAUAGAUGGAUAGGUGAACGCCACACCAAGAUUGGUGAUAAGUUCAAACAAGACGAUUGACGCCACUAGCACAAGCCAGAUAAGUCUUUCGAAACUUGUACGAGAUAUGAGAGGAAGCAACCUCACAAGAACAAAUGUUCAUUAACAAUUUUGGAAAAAAGUCCUUUACAAAUGAAAGAAAACAAAUAUUUAUAGGCACAUAGAUGACCAUUCAAAUUCGGCAUCUAGGUGUUCACACAAUAAUAAAAAUGUUCACACUAAUGUAUUAAAAUAGUUCAUAAAUUCGGCAGAUUCAUGCACUAGCUGAAUGGACACUUUCUUCCCCCUUGGUUUGUGCAUGAAUGCUUAGUCAUAAAGAAAGGCUUCAAGUGACUUGUAUGUGCACCAAAAGGUUGCAUUCAUCUCCUUGGGACGUUCAUGCACUUGUAUGGAACAUGUAUCUUCAUAAUUAAACACUUUAAUGGCAUGUAAGUUCAUAAAUGGCAGCAUGAACCUAGUAAAUUCGUUCUCCCCUUUGUGCAUACACUUAAUUCAAUCAAUGUGUUGAAUUAUUGAGUUAAUUCCUUCCUUUGGACGUUCUUGAACCCAUCCAUGCAUGUGUAGUAGCUUAUAGGUCAAUUCAAAGUGUGAACAACUACUUCUUGGCCGAAUAAGUGCCUUGGAAAGUUAGGAGACAGCCACCAUACAUGCACUUAAGCCAUUCAUGCAUUCUAUCAUUCCAUGUAUUUGAUCUAUUCAUGGACCAGCCUUUAAUGUCCAUACAUGCAUUCGACACAUGCAUGAAUUUGUAGAAACCUUGCAUCUAGCCGUAAAUGCACCAGCAUUUAAUACUUCUUCAUUCAUGAGUGUGGAAUGCCCAAAAGAGAUGUUUCUUCAUCCAUACAUUGUACCGUCCAAAGGGAUGUACCUACAUGAAAUAAACAAGUCAUUAAGAUAUCUCAUGGACACUCAUAAAUUCGGUUUGAUGUGAACACAUUAAUGUCAUGCAUUAAUUCAACUAUGUGAACAUAAUCAAUUUAUGUAAUGACUAUGGCAUAUUAAUAACAAAUAUUAAUAUAAGACAAGUUUAAUGCUUAAACAAAUAUGUGCAAAUUUUUAUUUAAGGCAUUAAAAACAAAACCAAGUUUAAACUAAAAUGAGCUAAGCUUUAGCUCGUGAGCUAAAGUUGAGCUGAGGCUAAACUCCUAAGCUAAAGUUGAGCUAAGGUUUAGCUCGUAAGUUGAAAGUGAGCUAGGAGUGAGCUCAGUUUAGCUCAGGCAAGAUGGAUUGAGCUCGAAUAAGCUGGAUUUGAGCUGGAGAGAGCUCGUGGAGCUGGAAACGAGCUUGGAUCAGCUUGCCAACAUGUCAUUGCUUGGCUUGAUAGACUUGCUCGAUAAAGUUCGCGGGGUGUGCUCGUAUCACCUUGGUAUUAGUUUUUACAAUAAAUUCGUGAAUGAGAAUGAGAAAAGUUCUUUAGAGAUUUUUAUUCCUAGUGUCACUAAUUUGUUUUACUCUUUUGUAGGUGACACUUGGAGAUGGCGUCCGCCUAAAGAGGGAGGGUGUGGAAAUAACUCAUUUCCUUUUCGAACCAUUUGUGGUUCCUUGGCUUUUGGAAAUAAUUCCGUAUCGAUCAUGAACAAGAUGGUUUGUGAUCUUGGAAAAAAAAAUUUGAGCAAGUGGCCCGAUUUGAGGACAAAUCGUCUUCAAGUGGGAGGGAAUGAUACGAAUCCCGACGUAUCAUGGUUCGACACAAUUCGACAAUAUCAAGCAUGGCCUAAGUUCGAGGGGCCCAAGUUCAAAAUGAAGCCUGAUCUUAAAUUUCAACGAGCUCAAUUCAGCCCGAUUUUAGCUCAAUGAGCUCGUUUGCUCAUUUUUCUAGUUUAUUUUAAUUUAAGCAUUUUAUUAGUUGCUGGAAUAAAUUAAUUGAGUCUAGUUAAACUUAAUUAAAUCAGCUCAAUAAUUUGGUUGUGUUAUUUUUAAUAAAUUAAAAUCUGGACAUUUUUAAUUAUGUUUAAAUGUUAGUUAAAUUAGUUAAUUUGCUUAGCUCAUAAUUAUGUUUAGCUUAAUAAUUGGGUUUUAAUAUGUUCCAGCCGAAAUUAAUAUGUCUGAAUUGGAACAUGUUUUAAUUUGUUCUAGUACAGCCAUUUAACUUGUCUUAGUUUAGGACACAUUUAUUUCUUGUCCAGCCGAAUGUGGUUUAAAUUUGCUGUCAAUUUAAUAUGUUCAAAGCUAAUUAAUUUUGGUUUAAAUGUGCAGCUAUUUUCAACAUUAAAGGAGCAAGCAUGCCGAAUUCAAUGUACUUAUUGCUACAGCCGAAUUAAUUAGUGAACAAGGCAUGGACGGCACAUUAAAGAGCUGCUGGUGCAUAGGGGCAUGAAACGUGAUUAAUGCAUUAAAAAGCUGCUGGUGCAUGAAUAGCCUAGGAGCAUGAAACGUGAUUAAUGCUUGAAGGCUGCUGGUUGGUGUUCCCAAAUGGCCAUUCAGUCAAAAGAUGGCUGAAUAUUCAAUGUUCCAAGCUGAAUUAAAAGGCCAGCUGCUGUUUAAGUUUCUCUAGGUGCUUUUUCGGGAAUAACAAGGGCCAUGGCUGAUUAUAAUUAAUCCCAUUCAGCUGCUCACAUUCAGCUUCUAUAUCUAUUGUCCAUUGGCGUCCUCAAGGAGCAUUUAAGCUGCCCAAGCCUAUCCAGCUGGUCAAAGCAAUAUAUUUAAUAUCAUGCACUCUCUUUGGCCGAAUAUUACAAGAUUUUUCAGCUCAUUUAAUUCUCCAGCUGAUGAGAAAACUUCUAAGAAAAUUCUCAACUCUUCUAGUUGAAUUACAAAGUGACCAUUCGGCUUUCUAGGUGGCUGAUUAGCUCACCUUUGUUUUAAAUGAAACCAGCUACAUGAAGACACCUUGGAAGCUGUCCAAAUACGUUCUUAAGGUUGGAGGAAGCAUCCUAGAAUUUCCUAAAUUUUUCUGGAAAUUUCAGCUCAUUUAAAGGUUUAAUUAAGUGACCAUUCAGCUACUUUUUGAGGCCAUUCGGUUGACCAUGUUUUAGGCUAUAAAUAAUUGUUAAAUUUCAUUUGUAAAAGGUUAGACAUUUUUUUAGACUUUUCACUUAAUGAACAUUUGUUCUUGUGAGGUUGCUUCCUCUCAUAUCUCGUACAAGUUUCGAAAGACUUAUCUGGCUUGUGCUAGUGGCGUCAAUCGUCUUGUUUGAACUUAUCACCAAUCUUGGUGUGACGUUCACCUAUCCAUCUAUCCAUCUUUUCACCUUAACAAUAUAGGAACCGAGGUGACACUUCUUAGUGUUGAAUCAUUCCUGACGUUGAGUUCGUUUUCCAUUCCCAUCCUUCGAAUUAUUUUCUUGUUAUACCAAACCGACCCAUUUAUCCAUCACCCAUCUUUGCUACACAUAACCGAACCUAUUACUAAACUUACCCUUCUUGAAACCUUUCGCUUAUUCUAAAUCCAUUAUUUUACUUUUAUUACUAAAAUUCGAGACAUGAACGACUCUCUCUCGAACUACGAUCAGGCAACUACGUAAAUUUGACUCAUCUACCCGGGCUGGAUCACACCACUCUUCAACAUUCGGUUUUCACACAUAUGUUGACCCUUGGAGUAUCCUAAUUAAUUCAUAAUUUUUGGCCAAACAUUGCUUCAUUAAACAGGGUUGGCCGAACCUUACAAGUGACCAUUGGACAUCAUGCAUUCAUUUUGAGUUUUCUUAAGCAUGAAGAUGCAUUCAUCCAUCAUUCCCAUAGCUGAAUCUAGUCAUGCACAUUAAGAGUUAUUUUUCUAGAAUUUUCUUUUAAUUAAAUUGUAAGUAUGAAAGGCCAUUCGGCUACCUAGACUUUAGGCCUAUAAAUACUUGUUCAAUUUCCAUGUAAAAGAACUUUUGAAACUUUUGUUAAUGUUAUGCUGCCGAAAUUGUGAGGCAAACUUUUCUUAUAAUUCAUUCAAAGAUUCGAUUGGCGUUCCUAGCAUUCUAGUUGUGUCAACCAUGCUCAUUGUCAAACCCGAACUUAUCACUAUUCGUAGUGUGGAGUUCAAACAUACCGAGGUUCCUAUCUUGUUAGAUAGCGGGUCGAGAUUUCCUUUACCAAUUCCUAAACUGAACUAAAAAGGUUUAAAAAUAACGGGUCGAUACCAUUUCGGUAUUGGUUCUUGUAAGCACCUUUAUUAGUUCAAACCCAUUUUCUUCUUUACCCAAUCGAACCUAAACCGACCAAUUUGUUCAUAUCCCUUCGUUCAUACCAUUUUGUUCCUACCAUUCCGUUCGUACCCCUCUUUCUACUUCGACCAUUCCUUCAACUCAACUAUACCUAACGUAACUUCUCAUAGACGAUCGGGCAAUCUACAUAUGACUCGACUCAUUCUCAAGGCGGAUCGUAUCACAUUCUCUUUUUCAAUCUCAUUUUCAUUUUCAUUUUCAUUUUCAUUUUGUUUUUGUUUUUGUUUUUCAAAGGCUUUUUCAAGUUCUUCAAGAUUUGCUCAUUUUCUCUCUUACUUGCCUUUUGCCUCUCUUUUCUUUUUAUUUCGUUUUCUUUUUGUUCUUUUGCUUUUUCUUUCCUUUUCUUUGUUUUCUCAUUACAAGAAUGUACAAAAGAAUCAUGAGAAUAGAGAUCAUGUUUGAAAGUGAUACGAGCACGCCCCGCGAACUGCAUCGAACAAGUCUGUCAAGCCGAGCAUUGACAUGUUGGCAAGCUGAUCCCAGCUCGUUUCCAGCUCCACGAGCUCCGUCUAGCUCAAAUCCAGCUUAUUCGAGCUCAAUCCAACUUGCCUGAGCUAAACCGAGCUCACUCCUAGCUCAUAUUCAGCUCACGAGCUAAACCUUAGCUCAACUUCAGCUUAGGAGUUUAGCCUCAGCUCAACUUUAGCUCACGAGCUAAAGCUUAGCUCAUUUUAGUUUAAACUCGGUUUUGUCUUUAAUAGAUUAAAUAAAAAUUUGCACAUUUUCAUUUAAGCAUUAAACUUGUCUUAUAUUAAUAUUUGUUAUUAAUAUGUCAUUGUCAUUAUGUAAAUUGAUUAUGUUCACAUAGCCGAAUUAAUGCAUGACAUUAAUGUGUUCACAUCAUGCCGAAUUUAUGAGUGUUCAUGAGAUGUCUUAAUGACUUGUUUAUUUCAUGUAGGUACAUUCCUUUGGACGGUACAAUGUAUGGAUGAAGAAACAUCUCUUUUGGGAAUUCCACACUCAUGAAUGAAGAAGUAUGAAAUGCUGGUGCAUGUACGGCUAGAUGCAAUGUUUCUACAAAUUCAUGCAUGUGUCGAAUGCAUGUAUGGACAUUAAAGGCUAGUCCAUGAAUGGAUCAAAUGCAUGGGAUGAUAGAAUGCAUGAAUGGCUUAAGUGCAUGUAUGGUGGCUGUCUCCUAACUUUCCAAGGCACUUAUUCGGCCAAGAAGUAGCUGCUAACUAAUUCUAUGUUGACCAUAGAGCUCCUUGAACAUGUUCACACUUUGAAUUGACCUAUAGGCUACUACACAUGCAUGGAUGGGUUCAAGAACGUCCAAGGGAAGGAAUUAACUCAAUAAUUCAACACAUUGAUUGAAUUAAGUGCAUGCAUAAAGGGGAGAACGAAUUUACUAGGUUCAUGCUGCCAUUUAUGAACUUACAUGCCAUUGAAGUGUUUAAUUAUGAAGAUACAUGUUCCAUACAAGUGCAUGAACGUCCCAAGGAGAUGAAUGCAACCUUUUGGUGCACAUACAAGUCACUUGAAGCCUUUCUUUAUGACUAAGCAUUCAUGCACAAACCAAGGGGGAAGAAAGUGUCCAUUCAGCUAGUGCAUGAAUCUGCCGAAUUUAUGAACUAUUUUAAUACAUUAGUGUGAACGUUUUUAUUAUUGUGUGAACACCUAAAUGCCGAAUUUGAAUGGUCAUCUAUGUGCCUAUAAGUAUUUGUUUUCUUUCAAUUGUAAGAAACUUUUUGCCAAAAUAGUUGAUGAACAUUUGUUCUUGGGAGGUUGCUUCCUCUCAUAUCUCGUACAAGUUUCGAAAGACUUAUCUGGCUUGUGCUAGUGGCGUCAAUCGUCUUGUUUGAACUUAUCACCAAUCUUGGUGUGGCAUUCACCUAUCCAUCUAUCCAUCUUUUCACCUUAACAAUAUAGGAACCGGGGUGAUACUUCUUAGUGUUGAAUCAUUCCUGACGUUAAGUUCGUUUUCCAUUCCCAUCCUUCGACUUAUUUUCUUGUUAUUCCAAACCGAGCCAUUUAACCAUCAUCCAUCUUUGCUACUAAAUCGAACCUAUUACUAAACUUACUCUUCUUGAAACCUUCCACUUAUUCUAAUCCAUUAUUUUACUUUUAUUACUAAAAUCCGAGGCACGAACGACUCUCUCGAACUACGAUCAGGCAACUACGUGAAUUUAACUCAUCUACCUGGGCCGAAUCACAUCAGAAAGGCCAAGAACUAUUUGUAUGUGAUUCACAAUCAAAACUUCGUGUAGAACACUACUUGAAUGAUUUCUUUGAAGUUCGAGAAGAAGUAUAUCUAUCUCUUUGCACAUUUUCUUGGAAGGAGUCAAAAUCAUUGUCGCCUUCUUGUCGUCUCAAAUUCCUUGAUGAAAAAUACUCUCGUUUGAAGUCUCUUCUCGAAUAGGAGUCAUAGUAUGAAUCUCUUUUCCUCGAAGUCAAUGGCGAGAAAGAAUCACGAUAGGAACUUUUGUUCAAGUAGUAUUCGAUGGUAUAUCUCCGUGGUGUGUUUGGUUCCAUUUUUGACUUGAAGGUUCACUUUGGUCUCGUUUUUCCAAUCAUCUAGCCUCACUUGCAGUUAGCCAAACUCAGAAUUUGCCAUUCUUUGCAUUUCUUAAACCAAGUAUUGGAACUCCGACUCGAUAAAUUCUUCUCAAGACAUCUUGAUUAUUGAAAGGAAAAUAUGUUAGAUCAAAACAAAAAUUUAAGUACCUCACCACAAACCUCAUGAUUUCGCUCUGAAAGAAGAAGGAAAAAGUGACACUCUCGCUUGUGUUUUACACUUGGUUGGCUUUUACCUUCGCUUGAAUAGUCUCACACGCUCGUGCCUUUUACCUCUCAAACUUUCUCUCGCAACUUUUUUUUUGGACUUGCCAAGGCCUUAUCGUAGGCUUAGGGGUCGGUUUCAAAAUUGGGUAACAAAGGAUAAAAUAUGAGGGGUUACGGGUUGGCUGAAAGAAAAAAAAUUUCUCGGGUUUAAGUGUGGCGAUGGAAUAGGAAGUGAAAGAAAAGAUGGAAGAAUGACUUCAAGAUCAGGACUAAAUUACAAUAAAACAAGUUUUAACUUGAUUGCUUCAAAAAGAUGUGAAAUUUGAAUGGACUGAGAAGUGUCAACAGAGUUUCGACCAGUUAAAAGCACUGUUAAUAGAAGCAUCGGUUUUAAUUAAACCUGAAUCAAGUAAAGAGUUUGUGAUUUAUAGUGAUGCGUCAUUAAAUGGACUAGGUUGUGUAUUGAUGCAAGACAGAAAAGUUGUAGCUUAUGCUUCCCGACAAUUGAAACCACACGAGAAGAAUUACCCGACACAUGAUCUUGAAUUAGCUGCAAUAGUAUUCACAUUAAAGAUUUGGCGACACUAUCUAUAUGGUGAGAAAUGCCGAAUAUUUAUGGAUCAUAAAAGCUUGAAGUAUUUAAGUCACAAAGAGAUUUGAAUAUGCGACAAUGAAGAUGGCUUGAACUAUUGAAAGAUUACGAGUUUGUAAUUGAUUAUCAUUCGAGAAAGAAAAACGUUGUAGCCGAUGCUUUGAGUCAGAAGUCCUUAUUUGUUUUACGGGCAAUGAAUACUCAAAUGAUGAUAUAUGAUGACAGAUCUAUUCUAGCUGAGAUGAAAGCUAAACCGGUAUUUUUGCAACAAAUCUGCGAAGCUCAGAAAGAUGACAGCGAGUUACAAGCUAAACAAAAUUUAUGUGAGUCUAAUUCUAAUUCUGAAUUUCAUGUUGGAAAUGAUGGUUGCUUAAUGUUUUGGAAUAGAAUUUGUGUACCAAAAAAUACCAAAAUCAUUCAGAAAAUUCUACAUGAGGCACACUGUUUCGAUCUAAGUGUUCAUCAACACGAUCUUUAUCACUAUCCAAGGAGUACAAAAGUGUUUCAAAGGUUUCAAGCAUCUUACCUCGAUAAGCAGAAGAAUAAGGGUCGAUUUUACCUUUUUCAUUUAAAACAAACCUUCGCUCAUCGGGGGCAUAGUGUAGUCGAAUCUCCGUUGUUGAGUUAACCUUUGUCAAAUGGAACUCAAACUUCAUGUACAACCACAUAAACUGUUUAAGGCACGAAUAUAAAUUGAAAACAAAUUUGGAAAAUUUCGUUACCUUAUUCUCCAAAACAGAUUUGGACAAAUUCGAGGAUUUUACACAAGGUAAAUCAAGAGAAUAACAAAUCACGCUUCUUUUCGUAAUGACUUUAUCAACCACAAUCGAAGAGUAACAAUUAAUCGGAUCAAAAUGAGGGGAUCUUUUAAGAACUAAGUCACCAAAAGUUUUAUCAAUAAUUUUCAAAUCUGCACUGGACUCGGUUUCUAAAAUUUUCUUACCUCGCUUACCUUCGGGAUCAUGUAGUGUGAUUUCAUCUUUGCCUAAGUUGAUCGUAUUGUCUUUCAUUUGAGAGGUAUUGAAGUUGAAAGUUAUCUUUCGAUCUUUCAGGAACCUGAAAAGUAGCAACACAAGAAAAAUUCAUAUCUUGGUUAGUGGAAACAUUCCUCACUAGCCUUUCCUCGUCUUUUUCUUUUGUUUCUUUUUCUAACUCAUUUUCACUUCUUUCUUCAACUUCUUUUUCAAAUUUCUUUUCUGUUUCACAUUCCUUUUCACUCUCAAUCUCUUUUUGCUCUUUUUCAUUCUUUUUUUCUUUUUCCUCACUUGUUUUAACAGAAUUUCUCAGUUUGGUUUGGUCUUCAUGGACUUGUUCCGGAGUGAGCGGCACUAAGGUAAGUUUCUUUCCUUGAUGCUUGAAAGAAUACCUAUUGGUACGACCAUCGUGAGUGACUUUUCGAUCCAGUUGCCAUGGUUCUCCUAGCAAUAAAUGGCAGGCUUGAAUAGGUACUAUGUCGCACACGACUUCGUCUUGAUAUUUACCGAUAGAAAAGGCGAUGCGCACUUGUUGAGUGACCUUAAAUUGGCUUUCAUUGCUAAGCCCUUGUAGUUGAUAAGGUCGUGGAUGCUUGGUAGUGGUUAAGCAAAGCUUUUCCACCAUCGUCGUGCUGGCUACGUUCGAGCAACUUUCACCAUCAAUAAUAACUCUACAAAGCUUACCUUGUACAUGGCAGCGAGUAUGAAAGAGAUGUUGUCGUUGCUGCUCGCUCUUUGGUUUUGCCAAAGAGGGUUGUCCACGAUCAUGAAGAUCAUAAUCAGUUCUAGGGACACGCCGAGGAGCGCGCCUAUGAGCAGGAGGCUGGUUAUCCACAUCGUCUUUAAUUUGAUCUCGAUAUUGAGGCUCUUGAUUCAACCGCACCUCAUUGAUAGUAGCAGUCAACGCUCGAAGUGCAGCAGCCUGUUCGUCCAACUAUUGUUGGAAUUUUUUAAAUAUGUCACUAGUAUUAUCACCUAUAGACAUUUUUUUUUAAAACCUGCAAAACACUCAACACUCAAAAAUAAAAGUUAUCAAACCUCACCGUUAAUCACUCAAAAAGAAAAAAUCAAAUUCUCAAUGAGGUCGAAUUCAAUCUUGUGAGUUCUUUAUCAGAGUUUAUAUCAACCAAUUAGAGAGUGUGAACCAAACUACCAAAGAAUCCUAAUUUGCACUAGGAUGCCAAAAACUGACGAGACACCAAUUGAUUCGUGUUGCACCGAGGAAGAAGUUGUGCACACGUUUAAAUCCUACUAACACAAGAAACAAGAAGGUGUUAGAUAACGUAAAGGAAGAAUAAAGGUAAACAAAUGAAAACCUACAGCUAAGAAUCAAUAAAAAUUGCUGAAAACAGAAAACCUGAAAAACUGCGGAGUAACUUGACAACUUCGUUCGAGGUGUUCCCGAUCUCAAAAAAUCACAAAAUUAAAUCUGGAAUGUCUUUAAAUAUUGAAUUUUUGAUCUGGAAAAUUUGGGCACCAAAUUCAACCCGCUGAAUAUUUUUUUAAUUUUUUAUUGGAUUUCGUAUGUUUUCAAUUUUUUGACUUUUUUGACUUAUUUUUUUGCGGGAAAUAUUUUUUUAUAUUCAAUAACAGUGCCAAAAAUAUGUAUGUAAAAUUUCAGAUCAAUCAGAAAACGUUUACCCACUCAAAUGAAUUUUUUUUUGAAAAUUUUUCUAGGUAAAACUGCUGUUUGUAAUUUAAAAAAUAGAGAUCAGUUUAGAAAUCAACCAAGAACACCCAAAACGCCCAAAAUCUGAUACCAAAUGAUACGGGGUUGCGCGCGGACCAAGAUCGAGUUGCCAAGUCACGAGCCCUAAACAAUUAGAUCCUAGAAGAGAUUGUGAUUCUGCCCAAUUGAACACCAAGAUAGUUUUUCCCAAAUUUCGACAAUCUAAUUUCACCCAAAAAGAGUAUGGAAAAACCCUAGAAAUUGGGGAUUUUUGGGCUGAUUCCUUAAGAUAGAAAAAGGCUGAAAACACAAUAAGAACAGAAAAUAGAUUAGAUAAUGAUUCAGCACAAGUAGAAAUAAAGAAAUAAAACGAAACAGCAAGAAAUAAAGAAAGUCCUAAAGAUCCUUGAAAUCUCGAAAGAUUUCACAAAUCCCUUCAAACGGCUCUAAUCUCCCCUCCAAAGAAUAUCAAUGGCAAGAAGAAGGUUGAAGAUGGCUCCCACAAUCAAAAGAUUGUUAAAACAACUUCUAAAAAAAACUCAAGAGAGAAAUCUUGGAGAAAACUCAAAGAAAAUUCUGCUCUCAACAAAUCUGAAAUUUUAAUAAUAAUGAUAAGUGUUUAACAAGGUGGACAGCCAUGCCUUUAAAUAGGCCUUAUAACUAGUCCUAAUCUAAUUAGAAAAUUAAAAUAAAAAAAAACUCCUAAUUAUUUUAAUAUGGAAAUUCGGUCAAAGGUCAUUUUAUCUGGGACUCUUGGACUGAAUAUUGACAUAAAAAUUUAAACUAAGUAAAUAAAUAAAUAAAUAAAAAUAAAAAUAAAACUUUACAACUUGGGCCACUUUGACAAUUUGGCCUGAUUUUCAACUAAGUAUGGAUGGAUUUCUUGAUUGGGCUGGGAAUUUGCUUAUUGGGCCUCGCCUUCAAGAAUUUGGGCUUUUGUGACUCGUAUCACACACAGUAGUCACUUUUCUAUUCAUCCGCGUAGCACCAAAAUGUAUAACGAUCUGAAAUAGUUGUACAGGUGGUCAAGAAUGAAAUGAGAUAUAUCGGAGUUUGUAUCGUGAUGUUUAAUCUGUCAACAAGUAAAAGCCGAACAUCAAGUACCAUCAGGUUUCCUAUAGCUAGUGAUGAUUCCGGAAUGGAAAUGGGAUAGAGUUACAACAGAUUUUGUAUUGAGAUUGCCCCUAACUCCUAAAAAGAAAGACACAAUUUGGGUUUUCGUAGAUAGAAUGAUGAAAUCUGCUCAUUUCAUACCGGUUCAUAUGGAUUACUCUCUUGAUAGACUGGCUGAACUGUAAUUGUCUAAAAUGGUACGAUUGCAUGGUGUACCAUUGUCUAUUAUCUCCGAUAGAGACCUGAGAUUUAUGUCAAGAUUCUGAAAGAAAUUACAAGAAGCUCUUGGAACGAAAUUGAAUUUCAGCACAGCUUUUCAUCCCCAGACGGACGGUCAGUCUGAGAGAAUUAUACAGAUACUUGAGGAUAUGUUGCGUUGUUGCAUUCUCGAGUUUGAAGGUAGCUGGGAGAAAUACUUGCCUCUGAUUGAAUUUGCUUAUAAUAACGUUUCCAAAUGAGUAUAAAGAUGACACCAUACGAACCUUUAUACGGUCGUAAAUGUCGAACACCGUUAUACUGGACUGAAUUAAGAGAGAAGAUUCACAGGGUUGAAUUGAUUAGCAAAAUAGAAGAAAAAGUGAAAAUGAUUUGCGACAGUUUAAAAGCAGCUUCUGAUCGACAAAAAUCAUACACGAAUUUGAAACGUAAAGAAAUAGAGUUUUUGGUUGGAGCUCGUGUAUUCUUGAAAGUGUCACCAUGGAAGAAAAUUCUCCAUUUCAACCGUAAUUCAUUGGGCCGUAUAAAAUUGUUAAAAGAAUAGAGCUUGUAGCAUAUCGAAUAUCAUUACCGUCUGAACAUGAAAAGAUACAUAAUGUUUUUCAUGUUUCGAUGCUUUAUCGAUAUCGAUCGGAUCUGUCACAUGUGAUUUCUCCCGUUGAUGUAGAUACAGUCUGAUUUGUCGUAUAACGAAGAACAGAUCAGAAUUCUGGCUCGAGAAAUCAAAGAAUUGAGAAAUAAACAUAUAGCACUUGUAACGGUUCUUUGGCAUAAACAAGGGAUAGAGGAUGCUACGUGGGAACUCGAGGAAGCUAUACGAAAAUAGUACCCUAACCUUUUACCUGUAAGAUUUUCAAGGACAAAAAUCCCUAAAGGGGGAGAGUUGUAAUAGCUCGUUUUUAGGUUUAAUCGAAAUAUUGGUUUCGGGACCCCAAAUCUGAAGUCAAAAUAUUUAUUUUAUUAUUUUAUUAAGGUUUACAGUAUGAUAGAAUUAGUUUGAUUUGUCGUAUAAUGAAGAACCGAUUAGAAUUCUGGCUCGAGAAAUCAAAGAAUUGAGAAAUAAACGUAUAGCACUUGUGAAGAUUCUUUGGCAUAAACACAGGAUAGAGGAAGCUACAUGGGAAUCUGAGGAAGCUAUGUGAAAAUAGUACCCUAACAUUUUUACCUGUAAGAUUUUCGAGGACGAAAAUCCCUAAAGAGGGGAGAGUUGUAAUAGCCCGUUUUUAGGUCAAAUCAAAACAUUAGUUUUGGGACCACAAAUCUAAAGUCAAAAUAUUUAUUUUAUUAUUUUAUUAAGGUUUACAGCAUGAUAUAAUUAUUUGGUGAAAGUUUCAUUAAGAAAUUUUACCAUUUAAAUGCUUAAUUCGGUAAAAAGGACUAAAUCGCGUAACGCGUAAAAGUUGAGUACUAUUGUUUAAAGGUAUUAAAUAGAUAUGGUUUAUUAAUAUCGAAGUACUUAUUAUGUUAUUUGACCAUUUGAAACUUGACUGGACAUAUUUGGUCAUUAAAUGGAAGUUAUAUAUGUUUUAUUAUUAAGGGUAAUAAUUGUAAAUUGGUUAAUAAAAUAAGAUGAAUGAAAACUAAAUAAUAAAAAGAUGGUGUUCAUCUUUCAUACACCACCGAAAUUAGAAUAACAAGAAGAAAAAAAAUAGGUUUUUCAUUCGGCAACUUUAAAAUCUUCAAUUAAGGUACGAUUUUUGAUCCGUUUUUAAUAAUUUCUACGUUUUUUAGCUCGUUGCAGCUUAAUCUAGCCUACCCGUGAUACGAUCACGGCUUCCCAUAAGCCAAGUCCAAGCCGAGAUACGAUGGUGCUACCUCAAGGGCCGAUCACAAGGGCUCGUGCAAAACAAUUUAAAGAAGCUGUUAUAGCUUUAGUUCAGCAUGUGUGGGAUGAUGUCAAUGCUAGACCUAUCGAACCAGUUAGUGGCCAUUUUGGAAAUCCAUGCCGAACUUUUCUACAAGUUCAUUUUAGCUCACCAAGCUCACCUUCAGUUCAAGUUAGCUCCCAUGUAGCUCCACACCAGCUCAUUAGCUCGGGACCAGCUCAUUAUCAGCUCACGAGUUUAGGCCUAGCUCGGGUUUAACUCAUGAAUUAACCAUCAGCUCAUGGAGUUCACUUUGAAUUCAUUUGACUACUAUUGACUUUUUAAUUAAUAAGUUCAAUAAUUAGUUAAUUAAUAUCCUACAUAUUAAAUUUAGUUCACAUUAGUUAUAUUAAGCAUGUCUUAAAAGUGUUUAUUGAUGAUAAUUAAAUUUGUCAUAACCGAAUUUAAUGUUGAUAUUUGUGUUCACAUUAGUUUGAAUUAAUUAUGUUCACAUUUCUUGUAGGAACGCAAUGGACAUAUGGAGAUUAAAAGCAAGCAUGAAUUUUGAAGGUGCAUGGACGGUUGGGGGGCUUGAAUCUCUUAGGUGCAUGUUCGGCCAAGUGCAUGUAUGACCAUAUUCAAUGUCUUUAAGGUUCAUGAAUGUUUCCAUUCAUGUAUGGUGUGCUAUCUCUUCAUUCUCCAAGGUGACCAUUCGGCCAAAGGGCACUCACACAUGCAUGAAGAUAGCUUGGCCAAUUAGCUUCCCCAUGACUCUCCUUAAUUCAUUCACGCCUAUGUUCACAUGGCAAGACCAUUCGGUUCACCUUGUUCACACUAGAAGACUCUUCAACAUUCGGUUUCACACACAUGAUGGCCCUUGGAGUGUCCACAAUUAAUUCAUACUUUUUGGCCAAACAUUGCUUCAUUUAACAAGGUUGGCCGAAUCUACAAGUGACCAUUGGAUAUCAUGCAUUCACUUUGAGUUUUCUUAAGCAUGAAGAUGCAUUCAUCCACCAUUCCCAAAACCGAAUCUGGUCAUGCAUAUUAAGAGUUAUUUUUCUAGAAUUUUCUUUUAAUUAAUGUGUAAGUAUGAAAGGCCAUUCGGCUACCUAGACUUAGUGAUACGGGGUUGCGCGCGGACCAAGAUCGAGUUGCCAAGUCACGAGAAACUCCUACGAAAACCCAAACAAUUAGAUCUGAAAUGAAACAGAAAAUUAAAAGAUUAGAUUUUUGAGUUUUCAGAUCUGAAAUAAAAUCCCCAAAUCAGCAAAGAAUCAAAUUGAGAAUAGAAAUAAGUGUUAGGGUUCUUGAAACCCUCAAGGAGAUUGUGAUUCUGCCCAAUUGAACACCAAGAUAGUUUUUCCCAAAUUUCGACAAUCUAAUUUCACCCAAAAAGAGUAUGGAAAAACCCUAGAAAUUGGGGAUUUUUGGGCUGAUUCCUUAAGAUAGAAAAAGGCUGAAAACACAAUAAUAACAGAAAAUAGAUUAGAUAAUGAUUCAGCACAAGUAGAAAUAAAGAAAGAAUUGACAGUAAGAAAUUAAAAGAUAAGUCCUAAGAAGCCUUGAAAUCUCGAAAGAUCUCACAACUCCCUUCAAACGGCUCUAAUCUCCCCUCCAAAGAAUAUCAAUGGCAAGAAGAAGGUUGAAGAUGGCUCCCACAAUCACAAGAUUGUUAAAACAACUUCUAAAGAAAACUCAAGAGAGAAAUCUUGGAGAAAACUCAAAGAAAAUUCUGCUCUCAACAAAUCUGAAAUUUUAAUAAUAAUGAUAAGUGUUUAACAAGGUGGACAGCCAUGCCUUUAAAUAGGCCUUAUAACUAGUCCUAAUCUAAUUAGAAAACUAAAAUAAAAAAAACUCCUAAUUAUUUUAAUAUGGAAAUUCCGUCAAAGGUCAUUUUAUCUGGGACUCUUGGACUGAAUAUUGACAUAAAAAUUUAAACUAAGUAAAUAAAUAAAUAAAUAAAUAAAAAUAAAAAUAAAACUUUACAACUUGGGUCACUUUGACAAUUUGGCCUGAUUUUCAACUAAGUAUGGAUGGAUUUCUUGAUUGGGCUGGAAAUUUGCUUAUUGGGCCUCGCCUUCAAGAAUUUGGGCUUUUUUGACUCGUAUCAUUCCCCCCUUCCUCAAAAAGAUUCGUCCUCAAAUCUGAAAAAUCAAAUGAACUCGACUUUCCUCUAUCGAACGAGACUAAUGGCAAUUGAGUCCACUGAAAAGAAUAGCCAUGAGAUAGUAAAUAGCAACGGAAACAAGCUUGUAGUCCAAUCAUAAGCAUAACAGAACAGGUAUAACGCGUGUGAAUGGACAGAUUCAGAUUACCAUGCAAACAAUCUAAUUUACUCACCACUGCCUCGUCAAAUAUUUGAAACAAAGAUGGACAUGUUUUAAGGCAUUCAGUCGUCUCACAUUGUUCCCACAAACCAUGAAUAAAUUGCGAGUAAUAAAUCAAAUGGUAAACAUAAUCGUCACAAGUAGGUAUUUGAAAAGAUUCACAUGGUUCACAGAGUUGCAUAAUCAUACCAUGCAUUAAUCGACGGUCUAUAGAUUCACUCACACAUGCAUUAUCAAAAACAAGAAUCUUUUUAUCAACCAUCAAAACAGAUAGAUCAUCAAUAAAUAAAAUAGGACAGUCAAGCACGUUUCGAUCUAAGUGUUCAUCAACACGAUCUUUAUCACUAUCCGAGGAGUACAAAAGUGUUUCAAAUGUUUCAAGCAUGUUACCUCGAUAAGCAAAAGAAUAAGGGUCGAUUUUACCUUUUUCAUUUAAAACAAACCUUCGCUCAUCGGGGGCAUAGUGUAGUUGAAUCUCCGUUGUUGAGUUAACCUUUGUCAAAUGGAACUCAAACUUCAUGUACGACCACAUAAACUGUUUAACGCACGAAUAUAAAUUGAAAACAAAUUUGGAAAAUUUCGUUACCUUAUUCUCCAAAACAGAUUUGGACAAAUUCGAGGAUUUUACACAAGGUAAAUCAAGAGAAUAACAAAUCACGCUUCUUUUCGUAAUGACUUUAUCAACCACAAUCGAAGAGUAACAAUUAAUCGGAUCAAAACGAGG